rnacentral:lncRNA from 1 species
UCCUCUCCAAGGUGUGGAAAAGCCCAGUCCCGCUUAAAGCAAGAGUCAUGGCCUGGAGGACGCUAAGAGAUAGACUACCUACGUGCGCCAAUCUUAGAAGAAGAAACAUUGUACUGAAUGAAGUUGAUACCGGCUGUAAUGCGUGCUUUCAUAGCGAGGAGACGAUUAACCAUCUGCUUUUUCACUGUCCAAAGCUUGAAAAAGUUUGGGAUGAUAUCUUUAGAUGGCUUGGCAUCUGUUUCGUGAGACCACAAAGCGUGGUUUCACACUUCCUUCUCUUUACCAACUUUGGAAACCGGAAAGAAAGUCGGAUAUUCCUUUUGGCGCUGUGGUGUUGUGUUGCUUGGGUCGUUUGGAGAUGUAGAAAUGCGAGCAGAUUCGAAGAAAAAGGAUGGGAAAUUUCAAAGUGGUCUCGGAGAUUAAGGUGAGAAUGUGGGGUUGGGGUAAGAUCUUCGGGUUUCUUAAUUCUGAUUUGAGCUUAGAUGCCUGGAUUGCGGGUGUUCCAACUCCUAUGACGUUGUAAUUUUCUUUUGGUACUGCUGGUACCUUCGUUCUUCUUUUUAAUAAAUUCAUUUUCUUAUCAAAAAAUAAUAAUAAUAAUAAUUAUUAUUUUUAAGUAAAGGGCUAUAGUGAAAAAAAAUUGAGGACUGUGUUUAAAAUUAUCCUUAUAUUAUCUAAUACUCCUCCGCCCGUUUCAUUAUUAAUGGCCUGUAUUCAUCUUUGGCCCAUCCCAUAUUACAUGGAGAGCAAUCUUUUAAUUUUUAGUUCAAGUUUUGUUUUUUCUCUUCAGAAAUUUAUAAAAAAAAUUCAAUAUAAACAUCUUUGUAGGCACCCGAGUGUUUGAAGAAGUAUAUUUUUAUUAAUUUUAUAUCUUUGUUUAUUUUGAAAUCUUAUGAAAUUCAAUAUUAAAUAAGAUACAUUAUUAAUAAAGUUAUUGUCAUAUCUUAGAAAUAAGGCAUAGGGUCUCUGCAUCAACAUUACAGAGUCUAAAACUCAAAUUAAAAUCCAAAGCCAAUUCAAGCCAACGUUGGAACCAGAAACAAGGCGAAUGUCCUCCGCAUCAACGUCAUAAAGCUUAAAUGUCAAGUUCAAUUUGAAGAAAAUAAUUAGAUUAUCAAAUAGAAAUAACAACUCGUACAAAUAUUGAUGUCCGUAAGAAAUUUUGAAAUUAUUAAAUGAAAUACAUAAAUUUACAAUCUUAUUUAGAAUUAAAAUUUUCCUUAAAAUUUUCAGUUCAAAUUGAAUAUUUUAUUUUCUAUAUUCUAAUGGUGUUUGGCUAAGCUUAUUUUAAAGAGCUUAUAAGCUAUUGGAGCUUAUAAGAUAUUUCAAGAGCUUACAAGAUAUAGUUUCUUAAAAUCUUAUAAAUUGUCAAAGUAUUUGGAUAAUUGAACUUAUAAGCUAGAAAGAGAAUUUUUAGUUAGAGAGAGAAAAUCGAAAAAAGAUGAAAUUAAAAUGAUAUAUAAUGAAAAUAAAAAAUUAUAGUUGAGUUAUUUUUAUAAAAUGAGUGUUGCUUAUAAGAAAAUGAGCAAAUAAGUUGUGGCAGAUGAACUUAUUUUUUGGGAGCUUAUAAGCUCUUAGAACUUAAUUUUACAUGAUAUAAGCAUUUUAAUAGCUUAUUUUGUCAAACACUUUGAAAAAAUUUAUAGGCUCCUAAACAACUUAUAAGCUCAACCAAACACCCUUAAAUCUCAAUUCUCAACAUGAUUUAACAUUCCAAGUAAAAUUGCUUCUCAAUUUUUUUCCUCAACAGACUUGUAAAUACUUCUUCGAAAUCUAUUUCCAAAACCAAUUUUCUCAAUUGUGGAACUCUCAACACUCAUAUAGAAAUGAUGGUCCCUUUGCUUUUUUAUCUUUCUCCAAAUAUGAGUUCCCACGUUUAUAUCUAUAACGCGUGUUUAUAUAUUUAUUGGCAUUAAAAUUCAAUAAAAAUAUGAAUUUUAGAGAAACUGAAAAUAGGCUCCACUUAAUAAUUCAAAAUUCAGGUGAAUUCCGACAAAGCAUAGCCGAUUGAAUAAAAUCUGCAAUGUGCAUCAAUAUUUUGUUUCAUGGGGUCAGAAAAAAAGAAAUGUAGAAACAGAAAAAAGUUUAAAAUACUAGAUAAAAAUUGAUUAGAGAAAAAAGUUAGUACUAUAUGAAAGGGGGAUUGAGGUGACUAAUGAGCAGCAGCAUAAACGAAAAGCGGUUGUGGGACUCUCUCACAUAAUCAUUCCAUCCACAUAUUUGAAAAAAGUAGUAAAAGAAAGAACAAAAUUAGCAAAUAUAAUCACAAAAAUUCAAAAAGCAGAAAGAGUGCUGAUAUAUGUAAUGGGAGGAAGGUAAAGGAAACAGAGGUGUCGCUUUUGCAAAUUUCUCAAGUUUUAUCAGGUUGGUCGUGUCGUCUUCGCUUUAACGAUGCUUAUACUUGUAAGAUUGUAUAUGUAUAUUAUUCCCAACAUCAUAAAGGCAAAAGAAAAGAAAAUGCUCAGCUUGUAGUAGAAUAUUAUACAUGAUUUUCCCAUGUUCACACCAUGAAUGUUUUUGAGUUUAAUAUGGUGUGAAGGUUAAAGAUUUGAGCUUUUUAUGCAGAUUGGAUCUGAUGGGCUUGCCCCUGAUCUUCUGUAGAGUGAAUCUUGAGAUGGGUUUUUGGGGGUUUACUUUGUUUGGUUGAUUUUGGUGCUUGAAUUCUUGGAUACCAAGGUUCUCUCUCUCUCUCCCACACACACACACACAACCAGAUGGGGGCUUCUUGAUUCUUGAAAUUCUUCUGCUUUCUUGAAUUUAUGCGGCAUUAUUUGUAUCCACAUUCUUGAUUGUGAUUUUGAGAUUUGGUGAGGGUUUUGGUGGUUGUGAAUCUGCUGGUUUGAUUUCUUGAAUCUUUCUUACCUCAAUUUGAUUUCUUGAACUUUAAGAAAUUAUGAUUGUUAACCUAUUUUUGGGGGGUUUGGUGCUGUGGCUGAAUAACAGUUGAAUUGAAGUUUGAAAUUGGUCAGAAUUUAAGUUUAAUUUCUAGAACAUCAUCAAAUCUUAUUGUUUGAGCUUCGUUGGAGGCAAGAUUUGUUUUAGGAACAUUGUGACUUAGAUUUUUGCAAUUUCAUGUAGAGAUAUGCUAGUUGUAUAUACUGAUGAUGAGUUCUUGAUGUAGCUUUUCUCUGUUGUGGUAGAUGCUUCAGCCGUGUUGUUUUGUUCGUGUAGGGUUGACGCACAACCUUGAAAGCGUGCGGUACAUUGGUUGCUAGCUAGAGGGCUCUCGUUGUUGUUCAUCUUUGUGAAAAUAAAGAAUAUGAAAUGGCCUCUCCGAGAUUAAUGGGAGAAGAAAUUAUUAACCAAGAGAUUGAGCCUAGGAGUGUUUCAAAACGCCUUGUACGAAGUAUGAGCCAGAAGUUGAAAAGGAAGAGCCAAAAGAAUGAAAGUUCUGAAGAUGAUGAGACGAGUGGCGUCUCUUUGAGAUGUCUUACCCUCUACGGCAGGGGAGGUGGGUGCAGAGUGAGUGCUGAUAUGGACGAGGAGUCCGGGGAUCCGGGCAGUAGGAGGAGAUCGAGUGCGAGUGAGGAUGGGAAAGGCACGACGUGGGGGAAGGAUGAUGCCUCAGUUGAUUGCUUCUCCAUUGGAAUGGACAGAUUCUUCAGAAGGAACAACAACAGAAGGCUGUUGAAAUGUAGCGUAGUCGAGCAAAGCAAUAGCAUGAACACACGCCUUCCUGAUGACGUUCUCGAAAUGUGCUUGGUGAGGCUCCCGUUGGCUAGUCUUGUGAAUGCUCGUCUCGUGUGCAAGAAAUGGAGGAACUUGACUGCAACGCCCCGGUUCAUGCAGAUCAGGCGGGAGGGCUCGUUUCUGAGCUCGUGGUUGUUUGUCUUUGGCCUCGUGAAGAAUGGCUAUUGCUCCGGUGAGAUACACGCGUUGGAUGUCUCUCAGAAUCAAUGGCAUAAGAUAGAUUCCCAGAUUCUCAAGGGGAGGUUCUUCUUCUCGGUGGCUAGCAUCCACGAUGAUGUCUACGUAGUCGGGGGUUGCUCUAGCUUGACUAACUUGGGGAGGGUGGACCGGAGCUCGUUCAAGACGCAUAAGGGAGUCUUGGUGUUCAGCCCGUUGACAAAGUCGUGGCGUAAAGCCACAGCCAUGAAGCAUGCGAGAUCGUCUCCCGUUUUAGGAAUCUCGGAGGUGAGCCAAGAUUACUUCCUCUCUAGAAAUCAACAGAGUCGGGCAGAGAAGCGUCUUCACCGCUCGAGAGCAGGUGGUGCGACGGAUGUCUAUGAGGAUCCUCAUAGACUCUCGGUCAGACGGCAAUCUAGGCACUCUCUCGAUGAGAACGAGGUCUCGUUGUCCGAUACCAUCAAGCUGACCAGGCAAAAACACGAGGGCUCGGGCUCGUCCAGCAGAGGCGGUGGUAGGAAGUUUGUGAUGAUUGCGGUCGGAGGCCUCGGAUCUUGGGACGAAGCCCUUGACUCCGGCGAGAUCUACGACCCCGUAUCGAACAAAUGGACGGAUAUCCAGCGGAUGCCUCUGGAUUUCGGCGUGGCCUGCUCCGGCGUGGUGUGCGAUGCUGUGUUCUACGUCUACUCCGAGAGCGACAAGCUCGUUGGAUACGACGUGGACAGGGGGUACUGGAUCCGGAUCCAGACGGUCUCGAGCCUGCCCCGCGUGCAUGAGUACCUCCCGAAGCUCGUCUCCUGCAAGGGCCGCCUGCUCAUGCUCUCCGUGUCGUGGUGUGAGGGAGAUGGCCAGAUCGGCCGGAGGAAUAAAGCGGUGAGGAAGCUUUGGGAGCUCGACCUCGCGCAUCUCAAGUGGGAGCAAGUGUCGACGCACCCCGAUGCGCCCAUGGACUGGAACGCUGCGUUCGUGGCUGACGAAGAAGACGACGUCGUUUUUGGUGUCGAGAUGUUCAAGAUUUUCGGACAGGUAAUAGACUUCGUGACUGUUUUUGAUGCUGCAUCAACAUCGGGUUGGAAUCACAUUUCUAGAAAUCAUAAUGUUGCACACGAUUUGGAUGCAUCUUCUUGCAUGACCAAGUCUAUGACACUGCUGCGCUUGUAAAUGAAUGAUUUAGACAGACUUCCAUUGUUUGAUCUCAAUCUGAUAUCUCUCUUUUUUCGCUUUGGUUGAUCAAUCAAAGCAUGUUGUUGACAUUAAUUUUUCUUCAAUAUGUUUUUGUAUGAUAUGCUCCAUUGACCUCUGCAAAUACAUACAACUCUAUUUCAUCACUGCAGUUAUGUAUAUGAGUUCGUAUUGCACCAAUACAUUACAAACAAACCAAUCAAUAUCUUCACAUCUGUUUGAACAAAAAAAUGUGUGUGUGUGUGUGAGUAAAUACAAGGGGGUUUAGUAGUAUCCUAUCCAAUGUUGGGAAAGAUGCUAGAGAAGUUAGGGAUCUUGUCAACAUGUUUCAAGGCGCGCUCAGCAAUCUGCCUUGUUCUGUAUUCUCCAUGCUGGAAGGCAUCAACCAAAGCUGUGCUUAUAUUAGGAUCACCUGCAACUUCAUAGGCUAUCUCCUCACAUCUCAGCAACCUCUCCACUGUCCAAACGCCCGGCUCCUCAGCGUCUCUGUUCGUUUCCCGAGCAGCAGGUCGAGUAUGGGCUUCACCCCUUCCGCGUCCAGCAACACCUGAACCCCCUGCUCUAUGUCAACACCGUCGUCCAGCAAGGUAGCCAGCGCCGCAAGCGACGCCUCCACCACCUUGUCGUUGGUGUGGUCCAAGAGAGCAACCAGCUUGUCCACAGCUUGCCCUUCCAAGAGGCAGAACGUCUCUUUUAACGAGCAUAUCCCGCGAUGAAUAGGGCACAGCCCGGUUAUAACCGGCUGCUUGCUCAGGCAAGGGAAGAACGAGGCGCACAGCCCCGGUGCAGGGAACUCGAGCAGCUGUGUCAAGUUCUUGGAUUCUUGGGAUAGAUUCUCCAAGGCCAUGGCUGACACCAUCUGCAGGUUAUCGAGCCCGUUGGACUGCAGGAGGUUUAUGAAGAGCGACGCUAGGUUGGUCUCAUGACAGAGUGCACGAGCAGCAGCGCCCGACUCCUCAGACAAGGCGAAUGUGAUUCUUGCUACGACCUUCACGAGCCCUUCCAAAUAUGGGGUCAUGAAACGGUUCCUCCUCGUCUCACCUUGCCUGAUCCUAACUAUCCUCAAAAUGAAGAGCCGGAACACCCCUUCGUCUAGCAUCUGUCUAGUGAGGCCGGAGUCCCUCUCAGGUAGAUCAGCUAGGAAGCCAACAGCGGCUGCUUGCUCCUCAGUUAUCACCGAAUUCUCCAAUAUCUCUCGGAUCAGGCUCCCGAGCUGGCCUGCUGGCCCGCGCAAGCAGCCAGCCAGCUCCGGGCCCAUGUGUGGGGAGAGAUUCUGAAGAAGCCUUAUCGAAGCCGCCCUCAGAUCUGUCUGAGGAGCUUCGAUGAACUGAACCAAACUGAUAGUCGCACCGGAGCUCUUGAUGGCGGACACAACACUGGACACGGUUGCUGCAGAACUCGUGAGCCCGACCAGAACUUGGAGAAGCUUGGACUCGAUUGCAGGGCCGGUGUUGCUGAUAAGAUGCAGAAGGUUGUGGAUGAUCUCCUCCGACACCAGAGUCAGGUAGUUGGGCCCGAUGGGGACUGAAUCGAAGUCGUGGCCUGAGUUAACGACAUUGGCAAGGAUCGUUGCUGAAACUUCCUUGAGUCGCAUUGGCAGCUGGUUUGCCCCAACAGUGAACAGAUCCUUCACGAGAGGGGGCAGGAUGCCCGCCUCUAUCAAGAUCUUGGCACUCGUCUCAUCGGAUGAUAUCUGGUUUAUAGACUUGAGAGCGGCCUCUCUUGCUGGCAUGUCGUUGUGCAUCAUGAGACUGAUAAGCGAGAAAGCAGCUGUCCUCGCCACGAACACCUUCACCUCGUUGUCUAGAACGAGCUCACCGAGGAUGGCUGCCAUGGCCAGUUUAGUCUCAGGAGUGCCUGCAAAGAAAUGAAGAAUCCUCAAACACUAUGCUAUGCUAUCUUCAUAUUUUUCAAGAAUCCAACCAAAAUUUCCAUUACCUUCAAGCAGUAGUGUGAGAAGAGGCUGCAAUCUUCCACAUUCCGCCAUCUGUCUAACGUUGUUCUCGCAUCGUGCCAGAUUCUCCAGCGUUCUAUCAGUCAUCUCGACAGUCAGGAGGCUCUCCGAGUUGCUGUUGGCCAUCCCAACUAAGAUCAGAACCGCCCCAUUAACAGAACCGAUCUUUUCACAGAGCCUCUCCGAGUUGGAGAGCUCGUGGAGAAGAGAGACAGCUUCUUCCCUCUCUUUAGAUUGCUCGUGAGACAAGAACUUGACUAUCGUGCGCACAGUGUCCCCUUCCGCCAUGAUUUCCUGCAAGAAUAGGAAACUGGAGUCGAGUCAGUGACAGCCGGAGGCGAACUGAGCUAGGGUUCAGCCACCUGUAACAACCUUGUUAUCAGAAUCUUCCUCCACCACAAUCCUGAGAGUUUCAAGAGCCGUGCAACGCACUUGUCGACUGGAGCUCUUCAGCACAUCAACAACCAUGGGUAUCAAGUCGGCAUCAUGGACCACGCGCUUGUUUGAAGGGCUGUGCAGGCAGAGGCGCUGCACGAAUCUCAGGGCCUGCAGAAUGUCACUCUCGGAGCUGCUCAGGGAUAGGGACCGUCGUGCCAUGUCGAGCUUGGAGGCUUCGUUCCUCGCGUUCCACUCUUUGAUUGUGUGUCUUAGAGCAAUACUAGGGCUUAGUUCAGUGCUUCUCAGCUCUCUCAAUGUCAGAGGGCAGACUGGCCUUCUUCCACUCUCCCUGCACUCUCUCAGCCAUUUCUCUAUGGCUUCUCUCUCGUAUGUCUGCCCGUCUUCCAAGCUCACAGGAUCGCGCAUCACUUGCUUCGUCAGAGGGCAUAGGAACGCGUCGUAGAUUGGCUCCACACGCGACUGAGCACCAAGGUCGGAGCUCCCAUCCCAGCUUCCGGCCAUCAGAUUGAAGCAAAAGACUAUGCAAAAUAGCAACAUUCAUUAGCUUCUUUGCAUCUGCAUAGUGAAGAAUCCUUUAGCUAUGUGAGAGGAAGACAAACUUGGAAGACAAUGAAGGAUUCCUAGAAAAGUUAAGGACUAGUAAUCGUUUUAGAAAUUGAAUGUAUUAACUAUUACUCAAUUAGGGUUCAUGAAAUGCCCCUUUUGCAGCUUUGUCAAGUUUACCCAGAUUAUGCUAUCAAAUUCCCCUUUCAGUUGAAGUUAGCUACAUUUCAUAUAUUGGUGCAGAACCUAUCAAAAAUACAAAAUGCUGGUUUUCAUUUGUAGCCCAAUAUUUUUCAAGAACUCAUCUUUGAUCACCAAUCAAAUUCAAAUUCCAAAUUGAUCCCACCUCCCAAAACACAAAAAACUAUCUCAUCAUAGUAAUGAAUCCAUCAAAUUUCCCAAGCCCACAUAGAAAAUAACAAAAAUUAAGUUCAAAUUCGCAUCAGUAAUCGAAAUUAAAAAGAUGAAGAAACAAGAAAGGAAACCAUCAAAGUGUUAUUACCUUGAAAGGACUCUUGUACACAACUGCAGAAAGAAAUUAAAUUUCCAAAGUAAAAAACAAAUCAAAAGGGCCGAGGGCCAAAGAUGCGCCAAACAAGCGAAGAGAAAGGGCAAAAGAGAUGGCAGCAGUUGGUGAAGGGACAAGAAAGAAGAAGACAGCAAAAUGUCGCACGAAUACUAAAAUAUUAAUUUAAUUUUUCUUCAGCAAAAGAAGUUUGAAUGUUGAAGAGUUGACUGAAGAAGCCGUCGUUGCUGAACAGCAACGUAAAAUGGGGUUGUAAUUUGCUAAAGCAAUGAGGAUGCACAUUUCUCAUUCUUUUUCAAUUUUCAUGGCUGCAGUUCCAGUUGAAAACAAAGCUGUUAAUAUAGUUUGUAAUUUACCACCUGCAAACGGCAUUUCUUUUUCUUUCAUAUAGUUUGCAAUCUUCUUUUAUAAAGUAACAAUUAAGUAAUUAAAUUUAAAGAUUGUGUUAAGAUAAAAUCGAAUUCAAAAAAAUUGAUCUUAAACAUUAACCACUUUAUCUUUAGUUCAACACACGCUCACUUCUUUCGUAGUAAUUUUCACUUUGAGUAUGAUUGUUAUCACACACUUUGGUUAAUUAGUAUAUAAAAUUUGAAUCCUUUUCGACUUAAAUUAAAAUUUUGGGUAUAUUUAAUUUUAUGUAGAUGUCAAAAUUUGAUUGUGUGAAUAUUUUUUAUAUGAUCUAGCCAUGGGCCCAUGACGAAGAAAAAAAGAAGAUAAUGUCGAUGUCACAGAGGAUAAAAUGUUAUCGAAAUUUUAAUUUAAGCUGAAUUUUUAAAAGUUUAAAUUUAUAUAUUAAUUUAUUUAAUAAUAAUAAUAAUAAUAAUAAUAAUAAUAAUAAUAAUAAAAUAUAAUAAUAAUAUAUAAUAUAAAAAAUUAAUCCAAAAGUAAUUGUAAAUCUUCUAGAUUAAUUCCUAUGUCUUCUCUAAAAGUUCUUUUUUUUUUGAUAAAUUCUUUAAAAGGUUUUUUUNGAUAAAUUCUACUACUUCUUUCUGUUUUAUUUAUCCUUUUUGUUGAAAAAUUACAAAAUCGUUGUCUGCGUCGAACAAGCGCUAACAGUUUCCAAUCCAAAUUUCUUAUUCUGCAAUAGAUUUGCACAGAGUUUAAUUUCUCAAAAAAAUGCCGAGUUCCGAAAAUAGGACUGAAUCGACUGAUAAGCUCAUGGAAACUGAUCAACACGUAUUGAAUUUUUUAGAUUCCAUGGAUACUUAUCUAGUUCUUAUGGAUUCCUUAUCAUCAACUCUUCGUCAGGUAAAAGAAUCAAUUCGACUCUAUUGAUCCCUUUUUGUAUGUACAUUCUAGCAAAUAGCAAUUAAUAUUCUUUUAUUGCAAAAGAAAAUCGAAUCUUCGGUUCCUAGGGUUACCCACUCGUUUCCUGGAUCCUAUUUUUUGAACACAACUUCUCAUGUUUUGCUCAAAAAUUAGGAUUUCGGAAGCUGCAAUUUCAACUUUGCUUAUCAUUUUCUGGAUAGUUGAUUUUUAAGAAAAACCUCGAUUUCAUUAACUAUGAGUAGAUGCUUUGUUUUUCAGCAGCUUGAGCCUUUUUGCUUGAUGUGUUUGUUUACUUUGAGGAUUUGCUCUGUAAAUCAUAGAACACUACUACUUUUGAUAACCUAAAUUAAUUGUUGUUUUCUGUACUUGCCUUUCGUAUUUGAUAUAUGGUGAAUCAGAAUUUGGUUUGCUUUUAAAAACAAGGGUAACUUGUGAUUUACAAUUCAACUGUUUUGCAGGGAUGGCUGGAGCUAGCCAGUGCUCGACAUUCAAUGGGCGCUGCUCGUGUCAGCAGCGCCUUGUUUAACCUCAAAUCUCAUCAUGCUUCAACAACACUGGAAAUAGACAAUGGUAGUUUGAUGCAAUUAUCAACUUACUGAUAAUACAAUUUGGUGUGCUUGUAUGCCUAAAACUUGGGUGGUUGACAAAAGAAAUGUGCUGCUAUGAUAAAUUUCACUGUUUGAGUAAAGGAUUUUAUGUUUGUCUUUCCAGUUGACGCCAAUGUAGAGCUACCGCACCUCACAUUGUGCAAAUGGGCGUCCUCGGAUGAUUCUGAAAAGAAUUCCGGGGGAGCCAAAUUUAAGGAUGAUGAAUUAUCAACUCCUCCCAAGCCUGAAAGCCCACGAACUCAGGAUGAGGGUACGUCUCACAAGUCCAGUAUGCUUUGCUUUUCUACUUUUGUUCUCUAAUUGAUUGUUGCAUGCGAAGAUGCUUACCAGUAUCUGAAUGUUGGCUAGUUAGCUCUAUCCUGCCAUGUCCAAGCCUUAGAUAACCGGGAACAGUUUUUACGUAUUUCUUGCAGCAGUUUUAUGAUUUCGAUAUUGUUGUCUUCUUCAAUUCUUCCUACCAUGUACUAUCCAGUUAAUAAGUUAGAGUAAAAAUGGUGUGGAGUUUUUAUCCCUGUUAGUGGUUUCUGUUAACACACUACUUAUAUGGAGUUGUUUUUGACUUGUGAAGAACCUCAAGACAGACGGGCAGAAAGUGGUGAAUCUCCGGUUUCUCCUGAUGAUCACGUAAGUUGCAACUGCCUCUAUUGUGUUUCCUCGAAAUGCUUGUCUAUCUGGUCUCGGAUGAAUCAAUCAGUCUAAUGAGUGAUGUUAUGGACUGUAUAGAGUUGAACAGUUUAACCCAUUCUGUAAAAGCUGUCCUCGAUGACCUAUUUGUGGCUAAGAUCUAUAUAUCUAGUAUAUUUUUUUGAAGGAAGCUUAAAAUUGUUUUGGCAGGCUCAACAGGCAAGAUCUAGGUCACUUUCCAUGUUUGGGACACUGGUCUCUCCUAAGCUUCGUGCAACCCAAACAUCAUUCGAGAGAGGUAACAUCAGUUCCUUGAGUUCCCCGACUACUAAUUUCUUUGGAGUCGACUAAUGCCCUUAAUCAUAACUGGCAACACUAAACCAGUACUGAAAAAUCUGAAACAUUCCUCAAUAACUCUCACUUAUUUUGAUUCUCGGGCACCUGUUCUAAUUUUGGCAGCUCUGGAGAUGCUGGUGGAGAUAUCAAAUGUACGAGCUUCUUUGCUGCAUGCUCACGAUCAAGUACAGAAAGACCUGAAGGCUGCCAAAUAGCUAUGGCAAGCUUCUCUUUGUUUACUCUGAUUCUAAGUCCCCCCCUCCAGUAUAGUCCAAGAUUAUCAAUCAUUUAUACAUACGGGAAGAUACGACAUUCACACGAUCCUAAUUUAUGCUUUUCCUCUACCCCACAUACCUUGCUUCUGUAACUCAGCAAGAGACAUAUAACCUAGAAAGAACAUGCUCGUCUGCUUCGGGGUGGUCCAAAAGUUGCUAUGUUGUAACAUAACUUCAUUCUUUUACUCUUUUAUUUUUCAGAGAGUGAUAUCUAUUGAACAGGAGGACUACUAAAAUAUCUCAUCUAUAUGCGUCUCAUUUGUUUGUCCGCGAACAAGGUAAGAGAUUCCUGAUUGCCUGUGUAUCUGUUUGUUUUAACUCAAACUUAUGCAAAAGGAGUGAUGAUUUUUGCCAGUGAGAAGCAAAUCUACUUAUGUUUUUGUCGUGAAUGCCUGAGCGGAUUGUAGCAAGUUUCCAUCUCUAUGGAUCUAGUGGGAUCCCUAAUUGAAUGCGUGUUCUUUUAUCAACGCAUGAGUUAAAGAAUCGAAUACUAUCGCGUUUGAGCUUAGGGCUUGUUUGUUUCAAUUAAACUCAGUUGGAAGUGUUUUUGUUUUGGGUUGUCUUUAUUCUCUUCCUCCAUCUUCAAUAUUUAUUUUUGGUCAAAACUUUUAGUUUUGACUUUUUACAAACAUGAACAACUCAAAAGUUAUGUAAGAGUUCUCAUUUAUUUCAAUAUUUUUAAUUUAAAUUUCGUGAAAAUAACUUUUUGACUUGUAUCUCGUUUCCUGUAAAUCUAACUUUGAUUGUCAUAUAUGGGUAAAUCCCGAUACUUUUUUGUUUUGAGAUUUAAUAAUCUCAAUACCUUUUGUAUAGUGUCGAUCCGAUCUCUUGAUUUUUGGCAUAUUGGAUAUCGCCGAAUUCUUCGUUACCCCAAAAAUGAUAUGACAUUAUAUCUUUCACUCGUGAUGUAUAUAUAUAUUUUUUUCCGUUUAUAAGCUAUUCAUAAAAUAAGUAAUCUCACCAUGUCAAUUUUUGGAUUGUCGGAAAAAUUUGGAGGUGACAAAUUGGCCACUAGUCUAAAAACAAGGUUUUAAUUGAAAUAUUUUAAAACUUGAACUUAUAAUUGUAACUUAACUAAAAAAUUAUGUAUAAGUAACAAUGCUACUAUAAUAAGUAAUCUUUAUAGCGACACACCACAUUGGAAAAUUUUGGUACAACAAUCUAUAAGACUACCAAUAUCGGCGCCCAAGCUCUCCUGAUCGACCGCGCCACCUUGAAUAAAAAUAUUAAAAAAAAAAAAAAAGGAUUCAUGGCAAUAAAAAGAUUUUUCAACUGACCUAGGUCUCUUCCAAAUCAAAUAAGACCAGCUGGUCUCUUCAUUUUUAAUUCAAAAGUAAGCUACGUGUCAUUUUUUGAUUGGCUUUGAUUUAUAUUAUAUAUAUAAUAUAUUUAUCUAUUUAUUUAUUUUUUCUCUCUAUAAAUAGGCAUGACAUUUGCAAUAUUUUUGCACACACAAAAAUCAUCUCCUUUACUUCACGUAUUUUAUCCAUUGUUCGUUACUAAAUUUUUAUCUUUUCAAUUUUUCAAUGGAUCCAAUAAAUUUCUUAUUUUAAUCAUAAUUUUAUAUAUUAUUUUUAACAAAAGUAAUUUUUAAAAUUGAAAAAUUAAAAUAAUUAGUAUAUACUAAUGUUGUGGUUGGGUGGUUGGAUGGUCAUGAAUAAGUCAUUCAAAAUAAAUGUGAUUAGGUUGGGAUGAUUAUUGAUAGGGCUGAUAAAUCGGUUCCGGUUAUCCGGUUAAAACCGAAACCGAACCGAAAAAACCGGUUAUCGGUUAACCGAUAACCGGUUUUUACCGGUUCGGUUCGGUUAUCGGUUAACAUAUUUUCUGUUAAUCGGUUUAACCGGUCGGUUAACCGGUUAAACCGAAUUAACCGAUUUAGUAUUAAAUUAAUUAAUUAAGGUAAAUUUGACUUCACUUUUUACAGCUGUACUCUUUCCAACUUCCAAGUAACAUCUGGAUUGAAUCCGAAAGGCCUCCUCGAUUGUUUCCUUUUCCAAAUUCCAAGAUUGUUUUCCUUUUCCAAAUUCCAAAUCAAUUUAGUCUAGGACUUGCUGAAAUUGGUUCGACACCAUCAUCGCCGGAUCUAGGCCAACCACCAUGAUGGAGGAGCGCGAAGACGGUGGCUCGGUGCUCGCCGGUGUGCAGCGCCCGACCAUCUGCCGCCGGUUGCGUCGCGUCCGAAUCGCGCGGUCGGAUUUGCAGAGGGCCGGCGAUCUCUUCGUUCACCUGCUGCACCUCUGUUACAAUCCCGCAAGGGCAGGCUUGGCCGCGGGCACGGGCGGCGACGGCGAGGUGGCGGCGAGACCGCGCGACAUCCGUCCGGCGAGGCCGCGUAAAGUCCUGGCUUCGAGCGAACACGUCGCUGCUUCCUCCUCUGAAGCGCCUCUCUUCGACUCGAGCUUGGACACCAACGCAGCGACGACGUCCGGCGGGAUCCGUUGGCGAGGCCGCGUGAAGUCGUUCCGGCGGCGGUGGUGGGCUGACGGGAAAGGCAGCGGCUGCUGCUGCUAAAACUUUGGAAAAAACUUGCUAAAUCUAGGGUUUUGUUGAAAUUAACCGGUUAACCGAACUGAAUACCGGUUCGGUUUUCGGUUAUUAUUUUAACUGUUAUUCGGUUCCGGUUAACCGGUAAACCGGUUCGGUUAUAACCGAAUCGGACCGAUUACCAGCCCUAAUUAUUGAUGAUUUCGAAAAGAGAUAAAUUAAUUAAAUAUUGACAAGAUUGGAUGAUUGAGUGGUUGUAAUGGUUGUUGUUAUUUAUGGUCUAAUUAACAACAUCACGAGUAGGGAUGUCAAAAAAGCCCGAAAUCGACGGGUCGACCCGAAUAGACCGAUAAAAAAAGGUGGGUUAGAGGUGAAAAUUUUUAGCCCGAAAAAAAUUUAACCCUAAUGGCCCGAACCGAAAAUAGCCCGAGCCCGAUAGGGUUGGCCCAAAAACCGAGUGGGUUGGCCCGAUUAACCGAACACAUUCUUAAUAAUUGAUUUUUAAACUUUAAUACUUUACUUUUUAAUUCAAUAAUAACAUUUUGAUGCUUGUAGAAUAUGUUUUGAUUGUUUUCAACGGUUAAUAACAAACAUCUAUGAUAUAAAAGUCAAAGAAAGAUAUUCAUUUAUAUUAAAUCUAUAUACAAUUUUUAUCAAAACAAAAUUAAAGUUAGAUAUUAUGUAAACUUAUGUUUAAAAAAAUACUAAUUUUUGUAUCUAAAAUAAAGCGAAUUGUCUUGAUUUAAAAAAUACGACAUAUUUUUAUUAAAAGAAUAUGAUUAUUUAUAUAUUAAAAAAAACAUAUAAAAAAAUCGUAAAACUUCGGGCCCGAACGGGCCAGCUCGAAACCGAGUGGGUUAGGGCUAGGGUCGAAAAAUUUUAGCUCGAAAAAUAAAAAAACCGACUAGCCCGAACCGAAAAUAACCCGAAACUGAAUGGGCUGGCUCGAAACCGAGUGGGCUGACCCGAUUGACAUCUCUAAUCACGAGGUCGUCCAAUUUGAACGAAUUCCUAAAUGCAACUACAAUAAUUAAUUAUUUUUUUAUUUAAGGCAGAUAUUGAUUAACCUAAGAUUUAAUAAGGAUAAUCCAUUUUUUAUAAAACCAUAUGGAUAAUCCUUUAAUUCCCUCCCAUUGCAAUUGGAUUCCUCCAUCCAUAAAUAUCUCGACAUUUAUUAUGGUGAUAAUUACAAAAAUAAUAACAAUGAUAGCAAAUAAAUGAAGCGGUCGGCCCAAAUAAAAGCCCAAAACACUGACGUGGCGAAAAUUUCGAGAUCCCGCCUAAACCCCCAAACCUCCUUCCCAUUAUUUGAGCGAAAGCGAUUUGGAGGGACUUCAAUAUUACCCACUUCACCCCUCCCCUUAUAAUAUCUUCACAAUUCUUCUUUUCUCCUCAAAUCCGACACCCUUGUUUCCCUCUCUGCUUUCUCUUUCUCUCCUCAAAAAAAAGCCAAAGCAAAACCCUAACCCUAGCUCCCUGCUUUCUCUGGUGAGUCUAUGCCUUCGCGAUUUCAAUUUUGCCGUUUCCUAUCUUUUACAUUUUGUUUCUAACUUAGUUUAUUCUUUUGGUUGAAGUGCUCGUCAUGAAAGGAGGAAAAACGAGAGCUGAUUCGAAGAGGUCUGAAAGCAGGUGAGCGUCUUCUUAGUUUUUUUUUUUUUUUUUCAUUUCCUUAAAAUUCCUCUGGUUUCGUAGCGUAGGUUCGGACUCGGCGAGCUUAGGAUAUUGUUUAUUGCGUGUAGUUAGUUUUAGUAUUUUUAAUUUUGGUGAUUUAUAUGUAGUAUGAGAUCUACUUCUAAAAAUCGAUUAUGUUUGUAAUUCUUCAAAUUGUUUGGACUUAGAUUUAGAUGAGUUGCAUAGCGUUUAUUGGUUACUUCUAGAUUUCCUUUAUUCACGGCUUGAAUGGUCGUGCUCUAAGAAUAGACAAACAAGAGUGAUUUUACUCUAGCGGAUCUGAGAGCAAGUCUACUAUCAGUGUUUGUAACGCUAUUGUCUUGUUCAUAAAAAAAAUCAGACUACAUACUUUCAAACAUACUGUGAAUGAGCUAGCCUUUGAUUUGUUAGCUUCAUCAUCUGUUUUUCCUUUUAGUUUUGUAUUUUUGUUGUUUGUUAAUUGUUAAUUGUCAUCUGUUUUUCCUCUUAGUUUUACUAUGUAGAUCUUAAUUUUGUGUUAGACAUUAAAACAACAAACCAAUUCUGUUUACCUUUGUGUGUUGUAAUUUAUCCAUAUGCUAGUCAUGGCCUGUGUGCUUGUGUGUUAUCCACGUUAGGUGUUUUUAAUGAUUAGUCAUUGUUAAGUUUCGUCACUUUGAAUAAUGUUGAUUGGUCAUCUUUUUUUAUUUGGGAUUUUGGCCUAGUUUGUAUAAUGUCCUGGUUUUGUUUGUCAGAGCAAUGAUAAUGUUAUGGUAAUGAUGUUAGGCUUGGUGUGAAGAUGUCAAAGAAGGAGAAGAAAGCUGCAAAGGACCCGAACAAGCCAAAAAGGCCUCCAAGUGCUUUCUUUGUUUUCAUGUAUUUACCUUGUCCACUGUUUGAUAUUUUCUAUCAUUUAUUUGUUUUUGAAUUUAUUUGGUGAUAAUAAGAGAUUCUGCUAUAUGAUCCUAUAUAUGAUUACAGGGAAGACUUUAGGAAGCAAUAUAAAGAAAAGCAUCCUAACAACAAAUCAGUUGCUGCUGUUAGUAACUCUGCCUUGCACUAUUUUGCUUCUGUUCUUUUUUAGAUCAUGGAGUAUCUUAUGCAAUUAAUGCAAUGUGUUUAGGUUGGUAAAGCUGGUGGUGAUAGGUGGAAGUCAUUGAGUGAGGAGGUAAAUAUGUUUUAGAUGCUUGAUGUCUGAUUGUCAAUAUUUUUUUUAUUCCCCAUCCUAUGGCUGUUUGAACUUAUCCUGGUAUCGGGAUAAUACAUGAUGUAGGAAAAGGCCCCAUAUGUGGCAGAAGCAGAGAAGCGCAAAGAAGGAUAUGAACGAAACAUGGAAGCCUACAACAGAAAAUUGGUAAUUGAUUAUUGUAGUUUAUUCUAUUUGUUAUUUGCCUAUGCUAGUUGCUAGAAUGCUUAUGUCAACUUUGUGUAAAUGUCUGUUCCAUUGGCCAACUACAGUAUUAUACUAAGUGUCUUUUGAAUGUUUUAAUAGGCUGGAGGUGCUGAUGAUGAUUCUGACAAGUCAAAGUCAGAAGUAAAUGACGAAGAUGAGGAAGGCAGUGGCGAGGUUUGUUGUCUAUAUAUGAACAGUGUUCAGUUCUCUUAUCAAUCAUUGAGAAUUUUACAUUUUUCAAUCAUGCUGACUAGAAUAUUUUUGUUCAAUUUGGUGUAGGAGGAAGAUGAUGAUUGAAGUGGGAUGACAAAUACUUUGUGACAAGACUAACAUUGAGAUUGUUAGUGUGCGUGGGAUGUUUUUCUUGAUAUGCUUAGGCGGCCAUACUCCACCAUUUGAUCUAAUGACAUGAAUUAGUAGUUUAUAUAACAUGGCAUUAACUUUGUUACUUUGGCUAACUAUUGAGACUAUGUGUAUGCUUAUUAUGGUAGAUCUAAAUGAGAAGCUUAGUUUUCCUAGUAGUUGCUCUGUUGCCCUUUUUUUUAUGUUCUGUUCCAUUUCUAUCUACUAUUGUUGAUGAUUGCUUCAUGGUGGAUUUCAUCCCAGUUAAGAUUUGUAUGAUUAGAGUGUUUAUAGGAUUUCUCUUGAUAUGAUUAGACCAUUCGUUUUUUUAUCAAUUAAGAGUUUAUGAUAUGCAUUUUGUGAAAUGCGAUCCAUAGAAUUCACUUGGAGUCUUUUGUCAAAAUUCUUUAGCUCUCAUUCCUUUAUUGGGUUGGAGUUGGCUUAAUCAGGGAGUGUCGUUGAAGUGGCUAAAUUCUUUAAAUUGCCAAAUUAUUGUGCCAAAAUUUUCAGUUGUGAUACCAUGGGCCAUGGCGAUGGAGUAUAGAGGGAUUUGGGUCUUGAGUUAAGAUGAGAAACUAUGCAUAUCUCGCCUUGCAAGUCCCAAUUGGCAAUAAUGGGCCAUUCUAGCAUUUGUUGGGUUUUUGAAGAUUUUACCCUCAUAUUUUAAUCGGUUUUUGGUGUGAUUCCAAUAAAUUUUAGUGCUAGUAAUUAUUAAUUGGCCUAGUAAAUUAUGGCACUACUUCUUACUUUAUUGAUAGAAGGACAGCUAUGCACUUAGGUGGCUUGGAGUCAGUGCUGUACUUUUGGCUAUGGAAUUCAUGCUAAAGUGAUUGAUUACAUAAGAGCUGUUUAUGUACUUGAACUAAUUAAGACUUUAAUCUAAUUUAUGGUAAUAUAUAAAUGCGAUGCAAUUUACAAAUUAUAUACUUCUACCAAAGUCAUGUGACGUCUCUGUUGAACAUUUUAUGCAAGAAUUCUCACCAUGCACACUUUGGUUAUAUAAAUGUGUACGUGACCUAUUCCUCUAGAAAAGAAAAAGAGAGAAAAUAAAAUAAAAUAAAAAGUGUACGUUUGUACACUUUUUGAACAAUGUAUUUAUGAGCAAGUACAAUGUAUUGCUGUUACAAAUAAAAAUGAAGUGUGCGGAGCGCUCAUUAAUUUACCACUUGAGUUUUGCUCGAAGACAUUAGGAAAGAUAUGCUAUAAUCAUAAAAAUAAAAGUAAGAAUACAAAUUGUUUAAUUUUGUGGUAAUUAUGGAAUUCUCACAGUUUCUGGAUAUAGUAAUUCAUUGUGUGCUGUUUCCAUUUUUCUCCUUCCAAAUAUAUCUCAUAAAAGCUGGCUUCUCCGCUGGCUCUCACAGUCAAUGCAGCCGUGCUUCUAGUCCCAUAUUUCCCCUACAAAAUUCACCAGUUUAAUGAUGAUGAUGAUGAUACUGAACAAUCUAGAAUCACAUAAUUACCAAUGGAGUGUCUACUUCAACAAAAAUGGAGCUCAAAUUGUGCUCCCAAUCGCGUGGGCAUAUGUUUGGAAGCUUGUUUUCAUCAGCUUUCUCGGUGUCCCUCAUCAGUUUCUCCACCAUCUCCUUCACCGGGAUCUCGCCCUCUCCAUAUCCAUCAACUUGCACCUUGAAGCUCGUCUCCAACCGCUCCGCCUAAGCUUCCAAAAAAGGCCAGUAUGGUCUCACGGAUCUUGAUGCAUGCUAGUUAAAACAUAACACAUUUUUUCCUAGAGAAAAAAAAGAGCAUAUCUUGAGACGUACCUUAGGCCAGGGGGAGUCGAGCAUGGCGUUGGAGAGGACGUGGAUGCCCGGAGGAACCGCUUGAAUGGAGAAAGGGGCCUCUUUAUGCCUAUUGGAGAUAUACACCAUGCAUUUGGAGACUAGAUCGGCCACAAUGAGGUUGAACCCAUUGUAUUGGUCAGCCUCCUUCGCCAGCUCCUCCGCAAACGCCUUUGGACUCUUCUUGCUCUGGCCCCGCCACAACCAAAUCAUAAAAAUAAAUAUUAUGACCAUCUAUCUUCUAGUUUUGGGCUCCACCAAAUAUUACAAAUAUAUCAUUAAAAAAUUAAACUUGUGUACCUUCAAGAAACGGAUAACGAGGUCUCCUCUAGUUCUAGCCUCGGGGAGGGUGUGGAGCUCCAAGACGUUGGUGAGGAAGGCGAGCCGGCCUUGUUUGGAGGAGGCGAGCCAUGUGCCUCCGGCCACCUCGUCCUUGCCUCCGAUGAUCUCUCCACCGUCCCACCACCCGACCGGCGUCGUAGCCCUACAAAUGAAAUGACCAAAGCAGUCAAGAAUGGUUGUUGGGAAUGAAUGGGAAGUGUGCAUGGAAACUUGCCUAUUGUGGUAUUCAUCCCUGUUGAGGAGGAGAAGGAAAGGGUAGAGAGGGUGUUUUUGCCACAUAAACACCGCAAUGCACAUUUUGCUCUUAAUAAUUCAAGAAUCUAAUUUGAAUAUGAAACAGAUAAGAUUGAGAAGUUGGUCUCUUUUAUAUAUCUCUUCUUCUUAUGCUAGCCACCUAUCUAUUAUACUUGAUUAUACCUCCCUCAUAGCUUUGAAUUUAAUAUAAUGACUAUAUGUAUAUAUUAUGAGUUGUCAAGAUGGGAUAAAGAUUGUUUUGAUUAUGAAUAUGGCCAGUUCAUAAUUUGAACGGAAAUGAAAUUUAUUAAAUUCCGAAAUAACAAUGUGCCGCAAUCGGUAUGAUCAUUCCAUAUAAACUGCAUGCAUGUUACAUAAAACAAUAAAAGAAGGGACGUGAUAUAUAAACUAAACCUUUAAAUGGGUCGAGUAUUUAUGUGGAAAUAAGUACCUAAUGAUUGAAUAUUGGGAAUUCCCAAGGCACAAGUCCAAACUCCACUAACAAUUUUAUAGGUUUAAUUUGUGCAUGUUAUAUAUAUCUGAUUUAUCCAUGUCACAUUUGUCCUUUGCAUAAUUUACUACAAAUUAUUGCAUAGAUAGAUUUUUUUAAAAAAUAUAUCUCACUAUUUAAAUAAUGUCACGUAUGUUAACUUAUAAUUUUUGAUAUCAUUAAACUGAAAUACCACAUCAAUUAAAAGUGUCACAAAAGUAUGUUAAUCUAUAUCAUAAGAUUGAAAUAUCACAUCGAAAGGCAUUGUAGAAAUACACGUUACAAAAAUUACGUAGAAUUUUCUCGUGCCACAUGAACACUAAACAAUGUCGUUCCGAUGUUAAUUAGAGAAAAAUAAAUUUUUACUGAGAUUUAGAAAAUUAAAGCGCCCAUCUGCUUAAACAAUAUUUACACAAAAUAUCACCGAAUUGAUAUUAUUUCCCGCUAAUAUACGAAAGGCAUUAAAAUGUACAUGAAUAAGUUAUUUAACUGGUGCGGUGUGUGAAAUAUUUUUGUUGAUUUUUUUCAUAAAAAUCCAAUCUUCUUAUUUUUUUUAUUAUUUUUUUAAAUCCUAAUUUUGACGUAAAAGUGAAUGCUAUAAUAAAUGCUUUUGUUAUUUGCACCGUCUCAACAGAUAGAGAGUGCACACAAUUUAAGUUUUGGUCUAUACUCUUUGGCAGCUGUAACACUUAUUGUCAUCAAUUUGGAGAAAUUAAAAGAUGGAGUAGUAUGGUAGAUUGGGUAAGCUAGAUUUAAUAAUUGAAUUAGAUCUCGAUAACCUAAGUUUUGCAGCUACUGUGAUGAAAUAGUAAUUAGGACUGCAGUAGCUUUUGUAAUUAAUCGAAACAGUCUUUUAAUUAGUGAAAUUUUUUGGAUGGUGACGUAUGAGGUUUGGAGAAAUUAAGACUUUUUUUGUUCAUUCUGUAGAUGAGAUGGAUGCCGAGCUACUUUAAUCUUCAUUUUCAAAUCAAAUAAUAAACCUUGGUUUGAUAUCUAUUUUUAUAUUAAUAAUUUGACGCUACGUUUGACUUCAUUUUCAUUUUACAGUUUUUAGUUUGACACUACGUUUGACUUCAUUUUCAUUUUAUAGUUUCUUUAGGGAUUAUGAGUAUUCCCUCCUUCUCAUUAUAAGUGUCUUAUUUCUUUUGGACACAAUUAUUUAGAAAUAAUUAAGUUAAUUAGAUUAUUAAAUGGUAUGGUGUAGAGUUGAAAAGAUGAUGUAAAUUCUAAAGAUUUUUAUUUUUUUAGACUUUUAAUUUUUUUUAUAAAGGGGAAUAAAACAUUUAAAGUAGACAAUUUAAAAAAAAAAAAAAACUUUAAGUGAAACAGAGUGAGUAUUUUUUUUUCUUUCACGAUGGCAAAAAUACAAACAUAACAAAUUGUUGUUUUUGGGUUUGUCUAUAAUUAGACUUGCAAAUGAAAAAGUAACUUAAAUAUUUAUGAUGUUCAGAGUAAAUAAUAGUUGGGUUAAACUAAAAAAAUAUCUUUACCAUAAGAAUGUGGAAUUAAUCUACUUCCUUAAUCAAUAAAUAACUAAUGGUCACGAUCCCCCAAGUCAAAAAACUAAUGGUCACGAUUUAAUCAAUAAUAUAUUUGAUCUCUUUAAACUAUUGAUAUUUUUCUCUUUUUGAUUUUCCCAUAUGCAAUACGCUAGUAGUAAAAGUUUUUCUUGAAAUUCAAUCAUAUAACACAACUUUUACUAUCUCUAGUUAUUUUCCUUUUUGAUCAUUUACCUCAAGUCAUUUAGGACCUUUAAAAGCACAAAUCCUACUAUUUUAUAUACAAUAGCAUUAUUGGGAUAAUCUCAAUUUUAUUUCUUAUGUUAUGUGUUUAUUGUUUAGCAUACUAUUUGAGAUAUAAAGGAGAACAGCAAGUAUUUACACAACUGGGGUUUUGAAUUAAAAAUAUGUCUGGAUAAAAAAUAAAAAAAUGUCCGGUUCAAAUUAUAUAUAUAUAUAUAUAUAUAUAGUAUAUAUAUAUAUAUANNNNNNNNNNNNNNNNNNNNNNNNNNNNNNNNNNNNNNNNNNNNNNNNNNNNNNNNNNNNNNNNNNNNNNNNNNNNNNNNNNNNNNNNNNNNGAACAUACAUAAUUUCUCACAUUUAGACAAAAUUAAUAGAACCCAUUGACAAAUUUUGGGCCCAAGUCCUUUCUUUUUGGGCCCUCUGAAUAUGGAAACUACAAAAUAGUUGAAGGCUAUAGCGACAAGCCAUAUAGAGGAAUUAAUACCAUAUUGAAUUGUGAAUAGUCUUGUGCGUGGGAUCGAUUUACAGAUUAAAAACCGUGAGAUGAAUAAGGAUUUAAAUUCAAAUAUAACCGAUGUUAUUGGAUAUAAGUUUUUAGUUUGAUUCUCAACCCUUAUUAUGGAUUUUGAUCAGUUUUUUAAAUUUUGACUCUGACACUCUCACACAAAGUUUUGUAUUAAAUAACACUUGUUUGAUGAAAGUAUAAUAUCAUAUUAAAGUGAAAACUCAUAGUAACAAAAUAUAAAUGGUUGAAAAAUCAAGAUUUGUAUGUUCUAUAUUUGAGGAUAAAUAUCAGAUUAUGUCCAUCAUUUCAGCGUGUAUUUAAAAAUGUUUCUAUUUAAAGAUAAUUAUAAAUUAAUAUUAUUCGUUUCAUAAAAACCAUGAUUGUGUUUAGCGAAAAGUUUUUGUUGCUUGAGAGAUGAUAGGUCAUAUCGAAACAUCUGCGUAAUAACGCGGACUUAGUCUCUAUAUUUUUUUCUUUUUUUCCUUUUUCUUCAAAACACACACACACACACAUGCCCAUGCUCUCAAUGCAUUAUUGAUUUCACCAUUGAAGAGCUCGGAGAAGGAAGUCCGAAGUUGUACCUGUGAGAAAUAUUCAAAGAUGCAGCGUGAGUUAGCUCAACGUUAGUAAAAUAUUCACCUUAUUGUUACAAAUAUUAUCUACAUAUAUUAAGUAUGUGAGUGGAAUAAGAGUCUGACUUUUAUUGUGAAUGAGUUUUGUACGUACAUUUACCAAAAUAAAUAUGAAUAUUCAUUUUGGCUGAUGGAGAGUAAUAAUAUUAUUUAUUUAUUAUUAUUUAUAUAAAGUUCACUCGAUAAAAUACUUUAUUUGUUCACUGUUAUUUGGGAAUGUAGAAAAUAAAUGACGAUAAUGGAAAAGAUGCAGAACCGAGGUGAAAAUAAAUCUCUCUUCGUAAGGCAAAAUUACUUCCGCUCUGUGCUUGCGGAUCUACAGUAAUUGCCCCCAAGAUACAACGGUUUAUGGAUGAUAGAUGAGUCCCUAGCACUAGAAGAUCGUUAUCCGGUCGAAAGGCUUGAUACUCGGGAUUGAGUAUGUAUACUAAACUAAUAUGACAAGAUUGAUUAUCUGAAUUGAGUGAUCAAAUUUCAUUUUAGGGGGUCCUAUUUAUAGUAGGUGGAGGGGUGUUGUGAAAGGGUGUCUGCAGGGAGGUGGCUGACCAAACCAGUGCAAUGAUUCGAACCAUCAUACUGUUUCGGCCAAAGGGUGUGAUCCAACCGCUGGCACCUCACCCGGCCUUAUCCAACCGCUGCCACGUCAGCAUCGCCCUUCAACCCGGAUUCCUUAUCCGCCACACAGGUGCCACGUGUCGGUAUAAUCCGCCACGUCACCCGAGCCACCGUUUCAUUUAUCAAAACUAAAGGCUCCUCACGACAACGUGAAGUGCUCUACAAAGCGCCCAUUGCGACAAGUGCGACGUGCACAGUCUCGGACUCGGAAUUUGAGUUUUAGCCUUAAAAGGCUAAGUCAAAACCCACUUGGGUGCACCAUAAGGUCCACCAUAGAGGAGCACACUUGAUUGUUCCUUUAUGGUAGAGAGCACUUUAUAAAUAGCUUACAACUUCCUAGUUUUUUCAAUGUGGGAUAGCACACCACAUUUCCUUUUACAAAUCACUAUCUUUGGGCAUUAAUUACUCAUUCAAUUCUUAAUUGAUUUGAACAAGUGAAUAUACCAAAUAAAUCUACUCAAUAUGUAGAUUCCAAAAAUAUCAUUUAAUUCUAUUAAUUACCAAAGUAAUUAUGGCAUUAAAUAAGCUAUUUAUUCCAACAUUUACCAAAUAAGUAUCCAUAUUUUGUUUUUUAUCCAUCCAACAAAUGAGUACCAAUUUCCUUUUUUGGUAAGUGUACCCUUGAUAAAACUCACUUUUAUAUGGGUUUUAAGGUUUUUUAAGAUGUCAAUUUUGUAGAAAAUUGAGUGUUUGAUGAUUGUUUUGUGCAUAACUUGCUUUAUAUAUAUAUAUAUAUAUUGCGAAAUGUGAUACUUGGUCGUACUUUGAUGAAAUUUACAGAAAUAUUGAAGUUGAAUUUAGAAAAAUGGUCUGAAUGAAAAAUUUAGAUCAUUUUAGUACAAGUUCUUGAGCAUAAACGGGAUGCAGAUCGAAAUUCACACAAGGGAUAUAUGACUGAAACAAGAAAGUUGCGAGCAGUAGUGGAAGCUCGGCGACGUGCUCAUCGAUUGCUGUCGAGGCUCCGUGUUUUGUUUUUCCACUCGUUGAAGUGCUCGAAGGUACCAAAUGGGGCAUACACACAACGACAUCCUCGGAGCUGAGCAUAACGACAAGACCUCAAGGUCAGAAAGCGGCAAAGCGAGACGAAGGGAAAGGGCACGAAUGUGGAAUCCUCGACGGGCAGAGAAAAAGUGAAAUACUACGACACAAUGGACCACAUCGCAAAAUGCAUCAAGUUUUUCAGCAACACUCAAUGAGAAGCUCUCAACUUAAAAUAGGAAGCUCUGGAUUUAGAAAUUCUCGACACGAACACCUUGAAAAUGAAUGCACGACAAUCAGCAGUGCACAAUUCACAGCUCGAGAAAGUCAUGAAGCUUCGAGGAUUGAUGUAAUUUUUUAAUUAUUACAAUUUCAUUUUAGUUAUUGUAUUUUAUUUUAAUUAAUAUAAUGUGGCAAUUUUACUUUAAAUUUUAAUAAAAUAUUGAAUUUUAAAAUUGAAGAGAUAAAAUGAAAUGAAAUGGACAUGAAAAAAAAUUAAAGUUCAUUGUUGUGGAGUGGAGGCUUUUAAGUGAGGAUCCUUAGAGCUUCUCGAGAUGUUUUUAUAAUAAAAGUUGAUAUAGCAACUAUCAACAUCUAAACUAAUAUUAACUGAACAUCAUGAUUUUAUAACCUGGAUCGAACGAAUUACAGGCGAAUCGAUGAACUCUUUAAGUACUUCCGAACAAAAUAGCAGAGAAAAGGUUUUUGUAUUCAAUAUAGCGUAUCCUUUACAAACGAGGUGAGCUAACUAUUUAUAAGAGAAAUACAAGAAGGAUAAAAUAGUGAAUCUAAUAUGAUUCACAUACUCUUCAUACGACAACUAAUUUUCCUAUCACUAUCGUUAAACAUCCCACUUGCAGCUUUUGUCAGGUGCGUUCUCCGAAAUUAGACAAGCACUGACUUUUGGAAGCCAUGUACGCUGACUUGUAGGAACCGUGUGCUUGAAUUACGCCAGAUCUUUUUCCUCAUACUGCACCAGAUCUUCUUUAAUCUAUGCUGGAACUUCCCUUUCGAUAUUGGAUUGGGCUCGAACUUUCUUAACAUGACCCUGUAUUCUGGUUAUGUCCAACAUUGUAUUAAUUAGGGGUAUUGGCCUGUAAAUACUCGAACUUUUACCAUUUUCUGGUUUUGUACCCCAACUUUAAAAUCAGCCUAGAAAUACUCAAACUUUGUAUUCUUUUUUAUUUUGCACCCAAUGAAUUUUAACCCUCAAAUCGUUGCUAACAUGGUAGCCAGAUUGACAUCCCAAAUCUACAAUUACAUGUUCUAAAUCCCACAUUGACAACAAACUUAUCUAUUUCGUUAUGAAUCAAACUUCCCUCUCAAUUAAUCUGGUUGUCAUCUCAUCAACGAUUUGAGGGUAAAAAUUCGUCGGGUGCAAAAUCAGAAAGAAUACAAAGUUCGGGUACUUAUAGGCUGAUUUUAAAGUUGGGGUGCAAAUCUAGAAAAUGAUAAAAAUUCGAGUAUUUAUAGGCCAAUACCCCAAUUAAUUAUUAUUCUUUAACAAUAACCAGAUUAAUUGACAUAAAAUAAUAAUAAAUGAUAAAUAAUUCAAAAUAAACAUUUAAUUAAAUAUUCAGCGCUGAUGUAGAUAUUACUCCUCAUCAAAAGCGAGUUUUUAUUUCAUUCACAUAUUUAAUUAAUUUCUUAAUAUUUGUGUCACUUUAAAUAAAUACUCGUACGGUGGACGGAGAGAGUGUGAUUUAUUAUACAACAAGUAGAUUUCCUUCAAGAUUGUGAUAAAUAUCUUUUUUCAUAUGCAAUAUAUGUCACUGUACAUGUUAGGUGAGUUUUGCAUUGGGAAUGACUUAGUGAAAGUUCAUUAACUUUGUGACGUAUAAGAAAAAAGGAUAUUAAUAUGUAUGUGUUGGUUGAGUAGCAGGGUGACUAAAUAUUUGAGCUAAGUUUCAUGUUUAAAUAGAUCUGUAUAAUUAAUUUUUCAAUUACAAAAAAGAAAAAGGAUAGUACAUGUGGAACUCUAUUUUGUUUGAAUUGAAACUAUUUUUUUACAUGGAACAGAUUUAGAAAAUUUGCAACGGAAUCAACGAUAACUUAAAACGAAAAGUGACAACCAAUUUUACAUAAAUACAAUUCGUUAUACAAAUUAAUAAACAUAACUAGUAUUAUUAUGUAUUUGUUGUUAUACAAAUUAAUAAACAUAAAUAGUAGUAGUAUUUCGAUACAAAGUAAUCUUCAAUAUCCAAUUUGUAAAUAGAAAUUCCAAAUACUCCAUUACAUAUAGGAAUGUCACGAAAAGGGCAACAAAAGAGGGAAAAAAAAAGAAAAAAAGGAAGCAGAAAGAAACGAAUAGAACGACGUCGUUUGGGAGUAGUUAAAUUUUACUCAUUGAUAUCAAAAAGCAGCGGAGGAAAAGAAAAAAAAAAGGAAAAGGCUCUCUCGCUCUCUCUGUCUCUCUCCUCUCUCACUCCAAAACCCAAAGACAAUGGGUAAGGUACCAACUGCGGCAGCAGCAACAACGGAGAUGAAGAGAAAGAAGAAGAAAGGCCGUCCUUUGAAGAACCCCCCUCCCCUCUCAACCCCACCCAAAGCCCCUCUUUCCAAUUCCGCAAGCCGACGAUCCACCCGCCGGAACCCUAAUCACCUUAAUUCUCCGCCGCGGCCGGACUUCGAUGACGACGAAGACGAGCGCAAGGAGAAGAAGGUCAAACUCGUCGUUCGCCUGCCCCAAUCGGAUGAGAAGACUAAGGCUGAUGAGAAGAAUCAACAGCAGCUCCAGCAAAGCGGGCGGCAUUCCCACGAUUCCGAUUCGGGUUCUGAGUCCGGGUCGGACUAUGAUUCGGACCCUGAGGAUGAGGAUCGGGAGGGCCCAGCGAAGAAGCGCAAGAUAAUUGGCGAUGAUGGCGGAUCUGACGAUGGGGGUUUGGAUCAGGUUUGGAUUUGCUGCUGAAUUUGUUAGAUUUUUCGGAAAUUGCACGGGAUUUGGCGUUGUUCGUCUGGAGGCUUUACUGACAUAUUUGAUUUGCUUUUGCUUGCAUAAAUUUUCAAUUUUUUUUGUGAAUAAUGCGAAGCUAAAGUUUCUAUUUUGGGAAUAUUUUGGCUCCGGAAUAUCAGGGGGUUUUUAAAAUGUGGGUUUUGAUUUGAUGGGGCUUUUGGGAUUUCCCGCUCAAAAAAUUAAUUGUUUUACUUUUCCUUUUCUGUGCCGUGGCUUCUGAAGAUCUGAAGUGGAUGUUGUGUUUUGACUCAGUCAAGUUUAUGUCGCAACAGUACAGAUUAAUGAUUCAGUUUCCUUGUAAAUUUGUGAUUUUUACAUGAUUUCUUUACGUUACUGUAGUUUCUUUAUAAUUUACUGUGAAUAAAACUUACAUAUAUGAAUCAUGUACUACUUCCUAUGUAUUAUUAGAUGCUAGUUUAUGCUCUAUUUGAUCUACUUUUAGUCUAUUUAUGAAGACCAUUCCUUAUCCAAGUAAAGAAUUUUAUCAAUUUUUUUAUUUGACAACGUGGGAGCAUGCAACCCCUAUUUUCUCAUUUGUUUAUAUAGCAGUGUGUUUUGAUACAAGUUCAGUUUUGGCUUUAAUUGGCUGUGGCAUAAUUUUCCCUCUCGCACUGCUGAUGCUAUUUUUUCAUUAACCGAUUCAUUGUCGAACUGCUUCAGUGCGACUCCUGCUAUUUUUUGAGUGAAUAGUUGUGGGGUUUUGAAUAAUGAGGGUUGCAAUUGCAUUGAUGUUUGCAGGAUAAAGAGAUUGUGAUGAAAGCGACAGACACUCCUCUACAAGGUUUUACUCAUAAUUUUAGGAGUUAGGAUAAAACUUUAAUGAUAAAUAAAAUUUCUUUUAGUUGAGAAAAUUAUGUAGGGGAUCCUUGUUCCUGAUUUGACUUGGAUUCUCAUUUAAUUUUUGUGGACAGGGUCACCAUUGGAGUCUGGUCCCACAGCUGCUUUACCUGAAAAAAAGUUGUUGGUAUUCAUUCUUGACAGGCUUCAAAAGUAUGUACUUGCUUCUGUUCUUUUAGUUUCGGUUGAUGCUUAUUUUUUUUUGUUAUCUCGGUUCUCGGACUGUUUUAUUUUGGGUUUUCCACUACUAGUUGUCAGCAAUAGUUUCUUGGAUGUAUCUUGAUGCAGGAAGGACACAUAUGGAGUGUUUUCUGAGCCUGUGGAUCCCGAUGAGGUGAUGACACCAUCGCAGAUUGUUUAUUAUACUAGAUUAUUCUCUUCUUCUUCUGCUGAUUUAGAGAAUUUUUCUUGCAGCUGCCUGAUUAUUUUGACAUAAUAAAGCAUCCAAUGGAUUUUGGGACAGUGAGGAAGAAACUUGAGAGUGGAGCUUACAAAAACUUGGAUGAGUUGGAGGUUGGUUUGAUGAUGAGAAACAGAAGUUUUUAACUCAUAAAGCUUUACUUUUGUUUUCGUUUCAUUUCUUUUUUGGUGGUUGAAAAGUUUGGAGAGUGUAGUAGGUUGAAGAUCACUUAGGUUUACAGAAUGGCUAUCUUAAUGAACUCAAUUUUCAUUGAUCUAUCAUUUUCAUUAUUUUAUUUUUCUUUACCAAGAUCCUGAAGUCCAUGGUUUUUGAGAUAGCUUUUUUAUGAAAAAAAGCAAAUUGGAAGCUGAAAGCUUUGUGCUUAGGCUAGAUUUACUGCUACUUGAAUGUUCUGUGACUUCUAUAACCUUGACUACUAACAUGCUAGAACAGUUAUUUCUGGGAACAUAAUGAUCAUUAGAUGCUUCCAGAACCAAUAUAAUUGAUUCUAUGAGAGCCAAGAAUUAACCAGGAUACGCACAUUACGCCAUUGACUUCAUCUGUGAGCUUUUUUCUUAUUCAAUAGGUAUUCUUGUUGUAGUAUUUUGAUGGUAUAGAGAUUGCGCCUUAGUAAUGGUGACUUUGCAUGCCAUCUUGGAUUGAUUUUUAUAUAAUAUACUAUUGCUCACAUUUUUCUGUUUUCCACUUGAUCUUUUUUGCACUACUAGAGCUUGGUUCAAGAGUAUAUUCUUGUCAAUUCAGCUUUGGUUUCUUCUAUUAUGUAAUGGAGGCAAAAACGAUGGAAAUGCAACUGAAUUUUACUCGAUUUUUUAUUAUUAUUUCAGGCUGAUGUAGAUUUGAUAUGUUCAAAUGCCAUGCAAUAUAAUGCUGCAGAUACAGUCUACUAUCGGCAGGUUUGCCUUGUUACUGGUUUACGUUUUGUUUCCUUGUUUAGUCAUCCUUUUAUCUGAAUAAUGGGAAACAUUAGGCACGAACCAUACAAGAGCUUGCAAAGAGAGACUUCAAAAAUCUGAAGCAUGAAGGUGCUGAUGGUGCACCCCAACCGAAGAUAGUGCGGAGAGGCAGGCCGCCAAGCAGUAAGAACCAGAAGAAACCUCUUGAGACGUCCCCAGUAGAUCGUGUUGGCACUGACCUUUCUUCAGGUGCAACUCUUGCUAAUGGAGAAGAUAAGGCAACUGGAUCUAAUUCUUACAAUCUAAGAAAGGCGUCACCAUUAUUUAGGUACAGGUCCUCUGACCCAUUUAUGUCACCUUACUCUUCAAGAAAUGGUGAAAACUACUCCGAGUAUUCGACGGAUUGGAAUAAUGAAUUUCCAGGUAUUGGUCCGGAUGCUUUGUCAAAGUCCCACCAGUAGUAAAUUUUCAUGCAAUGAGUUAACCCCUUCUUUUCCAACUUGCAGCAUCAAUUUUAAGGGCUGAUAUGAAAUAUGGAAAAAAACAGUUUACAGUGGAUGAGAACAAGCGUGACACCUACCGACAAUUUGAUUCGAUGUCUUUAGGCGACAAUUCGCCCAUUUUGUAUCAUUCAAAUGGAAACAUGAAGCGACUUGUGCCGGUAUUUUUUCUUCUUUCAGGAAUUCUGAAAUUUGUUCUGUUGUAUGUGUGCUUCAUUUCAAGUACCUGACUUGCCUUCUGUUCGUUCCCCUCUUGUAGGUGGGUCUUCAAGAAGCGCUUGCUUAUGCUAGAAGCCUGGCAAGGUAUGCUGCAAAUCUCGGCCCUGCAGCUUGGAAAAUGGCAUCGAAGAAGAUAGAGGCCGUCUUACCUGCAGGGGUACAAUAUGGUCCUGGCUGGGUGGGUGAUAACGGAGCACCUCCUCAGCCAUUGCCUACCUCAAUCGAGAAGCAGAAAUCGUUUGUUGGGGAUUUUAGUUCAAGCAAACUUGUUACACCCCGAACUUCUUCUGUCGGGGCCACUGGGCCCUGUGAAGCUAUGGUUGAAGCUGUUAAAAAACUCAACAACCAGAACGAGGUAGCCGGUCAAGGUGAUGCGUCUUCUUGGAGAACACAAUUGCCACCCCAGCAAAAUCACAUGCACAACUCCCACAGAAAUGGCUUUACUGGAAUGUUUGGGUACGGUGGUUCAUCUGCAAGAGCAGCAACGCCACAACAUCCAGUUGCAGAAGGAUUCUCUUCUCCAUCUCCAAAGGUGGAAAUAGCAUCCCCAAAUGACCGUUCAUCAAACCAUUCUUCAGCGAUCGAACAAGCUAAGUUGCCAGAAGGCGGCAGCAGCGCUCUACCCCCUGGAUAUCAAACGGCGCAAGUUAAAUCCGUUGGAGAAGCUGAGACGCGUACUCCUGCGAAAUCUCCAUGGCAGGGGCUGCCGGCGCAGCAGCAAAGAUAUAACCUUGCAGUUCCACCGGACCUGAAUGUAAGAGUCCCGGCCGGCUCACCUGGUCCAAGCCUGCAAAUUGGUUCACCGCAACAGCCGGAUCUGGCAUUACAGCUCUGAAUACUACUGAUUUAUCCAUUUUUAGUAGGCUGCUGCAGUUCUUUCGGCAUUGUCAGUGAGGAAAAUAAACACAGGCUUGCAAUCAAGGGCUGCAGGUCGACGACGACAGAGUUCAUCAGAAAGCUUGUAUAGAUCGAUCGUGUAUCUAAUUCUUUAGGCAGAAUUAAACACUGUUUUAACAUUUGUGACUUCGACAAUGACCGUGACCGGGGGAGACGACCGAGCUACAGAGACGUCGGGAACUAGCUAGCAAGCUUUUAGGUUGUUUGAGUAGAUUGGAUUACAUAGAUAGGUUUCUGCAUUUGGAUAUGAAUCAACAGUGUAACAAUAUUUACAUGAGAUGCUACCCCAUUAUUUACAAAGUAUGAUUGUAAGCUCAUUUAUUGGAUCCAGAUACUUUAUGAAAUUUCUGGGAUUACUUAACGAGGAACUGUGAUCAGAACCUAAUUUCAUACAUUAAUGAAGUCCAAAAAGGAGACAUGAAUAUGAUCCACCAAUGUAAUAAUAACUUAAUAAGUAGAUGGAAAAUGAUAUGCAAUAAAAUGGGCAGGUAGUACCGUUAAAGAUGGAGGUAUUAUAGGGAAUCUCUUUGUAGGAGACGAAUUUCGAGCUAAAUAUAGUAUCAUGAAGAAGAGAAAAAAGGGGUCCUGAAAUUCUGGGGAUAUAUUUGGGUUAUGUUUGAAAGUUUGUUGUGUUACGAUUGAGAUGUGAAAUACCUGAUUUUUUUUCCUUUGCAUGGAUCACUAUUUUUAGUAUAUAAAUUCUCUGGUUGUGUUUUGCUUAUGAGGAGAUGUGUAAAAUGUGGUUCUUUUCAUUACUUAGGAAAAGGGUUGUCCGGAGUUGUGAAAGAAGAGAGAGAAUAUAAUCUUCUCUCUCCAAAACACUACUUGUUCUUCCAAAUUCUUUCUUCUUCACUCAUGUAAGGAAUGAUUCGCUAGAAUUUCACGUUUCGAUGAAAAUGGAAUUCGCUUUGGGAGGCUAAGUUGGUGGCUGCAAAAAUUCUUGGACGAUCAAUCUUCUCGAGAAGGAGAUGAGUUGCUUUCCUUGCGUAAGCUUUAGGCGUGAGGAUGUACUAGACUAUGAUGAAGAUAUAAACCUAAAAUCCAUCGAAAAAUUAGGUAAUUAAGUUUCUUGCUUAAUUUGUUUUCGAUGUUAAUUUGAUCCGCAAUCCCUUGUGUUUUGUUUCUUGAUGUGCAGUUGAUGCAAAGGGAAAUGGGAAGUGUCAAGGUUGAAGAAGGUAAGUAAUGAAAUCAAGCCUAUAUAUAAUCUCUUAUGUGUGUUGUGAUUGUCUUGAAUUCUUGAAGACGAAGAGGGCGAGGGGCGAGGGCGAGGGAGAGAGAAAGGCAUUUCGAAGAAGGGAAACAUGGCCCGGAGCUUCACGUUCAAGGAACUCGCGGCCGCUACCCAGAAUUUCAAGGAUGCCAACAUGAUCGGGGAAGGCGGGUUUGGCAACGUGUACAAGGGCCGGCUCGACUGUGGCACGGUACGUAGGCACGCCCCGUUUUUAAUUUCGUCGGAUCAAUGAUCAAGAUCUCAAUUUUUGUUGUUGAUGAAUUGGUAGGUGGUUGCUGUGAAGCAACUGAAUCUCGAGGGGCUUCAAGGGCACCAAGAAUUUGUGGUGGAGGUGUUGAUGCUGAGUUUGCUGCACCAUCCCAACCUUGUGAAUCUCAUCGGUUACUGCACUCACGCUCAACAAAGGCUCCUGGUUUAUGAGUUCAUGUCCAGAGGCAGCCUCGAGAAUCAUCUCUUUGGUAUGCCAAUGUCACACAUCAUCUUUUAUCUUUGCCUUUGAAAUGUAUCGAUAAAGACCAUGCAUUUUACUAUGUAACCAAUCGUAACAUGGGACAGAGCCUUUAUAUUUUUAGGGGACGUUUAUUUUGCAUGAUUGAUAAAAUGCAUGAUUGAGUAUUUUUAUGGUCAAGGUAGGAUUUCUCUGAUUCCACCCUUUCGAUGGGACUAGCUUAAAUGAUAGAAAUAAUUAAGGGCAUUAAGAUAUCCCAAAGUAAACAAGGGAUUAACCUUACUAUUUUAAUCUAUCAAGGCUAAUUCUCCAAAGUUGUGGUUGUUAGAUCUAGAGGCGGAUCAAGAGCCACUGAGUUGGGCGACGAGGUUGAAGAUUGCGGUUGGGGCGGCUCGUGGGCUCGAAUACCUCCAUUGCCAGGCAAAUCCACCGGUGAUAUACCGCGAUCUGAAAUCGUCGAACAUAUUAUUGGACAGCGACUUCAACGUGAAGCUGUCCGAUUUCGGGCUGGCCAAGCUGGGGCCGGUGGGCGACAACACCCACGUCUCCACGCGAGUCAUGGGAACCUACGGCUACUGCGCCCCGGAAUACGCCAUGAGCGGCAAGCUCACCUUGAAAUCCGACAUCUACAGCUUCGGAGUCGUGCUGCUCGAGCUCAUCACCGGCCGCAAGGCCAUGGACUUCAGCAAGAAACCGGGAGAGCAAAAUCUUGUCGUAUGGGUGAGUUUUCGGAUCAAGGGCAGGGGGGGCUCCAGCACCCCUAAACCAUAUAUUUUCUUGAAAUUUUGUUAUCUGACACAAGUGUUUGUACAGUCGCGGCCAUUUCUAAAGGAUCGGAAAAGGUUCAUAGAGAUGGUGGAUCCUCUACUAGAAGGCCGGUACUCGGCCAAGAGCGUGCAGCACGCCAUCGUUGUGACGGCAAUGUGUCUUCAAGAGCAGGCAAACAAUCGGCCGAGCAUCGCAGACAUAGUGAACGCGCUGGAUUACUUGCAGGAGGAGAGAUCGCCAUCUAACACCAACCUUAAUGUCUCCUUGUCUUAGCUAGAUCCAUCACUAGAUCUUCAUUUUCAUUCUUUCUUUACAACUGCAUAUGUAUAUAUAUACAUCACUUAUAUAUAUAUAUAUAUGUAUGUGUUUAUGUGGAUGAAUCAGUCCCAAAGCGAAUUAGACAUUCAUAUUGAGAUUAGCUUCAUGCCUUUAAUUGAAGCUGUAUCUUUGUGAGCUUUUUACCUUUGUAGCAUCUACCUUAAAAUCAUACCAUCUUUGUUUCCAGCCUCGCUUUUAUCAUUGCCAACACCAUCAUUCGGUACUUAAAAAAUAGACUCGGGUUGCGUGUGUUGGUAAAGCGGUAAGAGAUUAUGUAAAAUAUUUAAAAAAUAAUGUAAAAUAACAAAAUUUAUAAUCCAAAUUAAAGACCAAUCUUAUUAUAUUUCAAUAUACCUUCAAAUUAUCUCAUUUUUUCUUUACAUAUCUAUUAUUUUUUUUCUCUAUUUUUCAAUGGAUCGAUGCAACAAUUUUUUUUCUUAUGUUUCAAUUUGUAUUUAAAAUUGCUAAAAUUAUUAUGAUUAAAAAAAAACAUAGUUAUAUAUAAUGUUAUGGCUAGGUUUUUUAAGCGAUUACAUUGAUAUAUAAAUUAUAAAAAAAUAGAGGUGACUGAAUUGUGAUCAUGAAUAUUAAUGUUGUGAAUGAGAAAGAUGGUUAGAUGGUUUAGAUAAGAUAAUUGGUAGUAAUAAAUAUAGUCUCAGUGCGAGCUUAACCCCCAACUCAGCCGUCUCUAUACAUAAUUAAAAAUAAUAUACAUUUGAAUCAAAACUGUCGAUCCUUACACCUUCUUUAUAUAUAGAUAUGCACAUAGGAUCAAUAUAUUGCUCACAUGUGAGAAAAUUAAAAUGGCAGAGAAUAAAUAUAUAUAUCUAAUCUACAAACAUAUAUAGGAUAAUACAAAAUUUGUCCUAGCUUGCAAGAUGUAAAUUCGAUGAUUUUUCUUGGAAUUUAAAUUAUGUGAAGUAUGAACAGUCCACAUCAAUUAUAUUAGCACAUGUGUUUGCCGGACUUAUAUUAGAUCAUUCACACAUAAAUUAUUUAUAAUUCACUCAAUUUUAUUACUAUUUUUAUUGCCUGAGCGAUAAUUUCUAGGAAAAGUGGAUUCAAUUUGAUUCGUUUGCUUCAAAGGAAAGAAUUCAGUAUUCGAGUGAAUCAAUUGAAUAUAUUGACUUUAGCUACUAAUUAACUGCAAUCGUUUUUUAGCUAGUACAUGUUUUGUUUUAUUUAACAAAACCACGUGUAAAACGUCAUCACAAUAUAUAUAUUUUAAAUAUUGUUUAAAACUAAAUAUUUAUAUAAUUUAGUGCGUGUCACAAUGUAUCGACGAUGUCGUAAAUUACGUAGUAAUGUCCUCAAUUUUCUUUGCUUUGAAGAAGGUUACUAGAUUGGCCAAUGAUGAUAAUAGCUUAUUGAAAAAUGGGGUCUAUUUUUCUUAUUAGUCGUGGAAAAAAUGUAAAUGAUAAUACGCGCAGUGUAAACCUUUUUCUUCUGUAUUAAUUAUUUAUUCCACGUGCCUCUUUUGGCACACAACAUAUAUUCAUGUACCUUAAGUUACUACCAUGUGUACUAACAUAUAGGCCUCAAAUUAAAUAGUUUUGCUAAGAUAACCAAAUUUUGGCUACUCGGAGGGAAAUUUCUGCAGAAACUUCCAUAGGUUAAUAGCUGUCAACUAUGGGAUAUAUAAGCAUAAUUAUUUAUAAUUCGUCAUUUUUAUUUAUAAGGAUUAAUUUUAUUCAUAACUGUUAAUUUUGUGGGCACAAAGCAUACCUAAUGAAAACUAUACACUUUUCACGUAACGUACACAUGUUCGCGUAUAUAAUAAUAAUAAUACACGUGGCAUCAAAGUUAAUGUGACGAUCAUAUUUAAUUAAUGAAAAGAAACAACACUUAAUUAAGGCUCAAUUACUUGCUAAUAAAUAAUUAUUCUAUUUCAAUUGAAAGCACAUUAAGAACUACGUACCUUGAUAUGUUAUUUUAAAAAAAUUGUUUCAUCUUCUACAAAAAUAAAUUAAUUUUUAUUAAUAAAAGUUCAUAGUCAUGUUUGAGCUAGAAGAUUGAUUCAAACUCGGCAUUACAAAUGAACUAAAAGUAGGAAAUGAGAUAAAGAUAACAUAAAUUAAUAUAACUGCAAAAUGUUAAACAAUUAACGUAGAUGUUACGAAUUCAUAAAAUAAAAACACGUUCUUAUAUAAAAAAAUAUUUGUAUUGAUAGAAAUUAACUCUUCUAUUAACUUCGAGUAUUAUAAUACUCCUAUAUUAUGUCUCUCUAGCUUUUUUCAUAAAAUGAAGGGCACUAUAAUUGAACCGAACACAAAUGGAACAAAAAAUAUUGUAUUUGAGAUACAUAGGUAGGAAUUGAAGUGAAUUGUGUGCAAUUGAAGACCUGGUCGAGAAAUAAUAACACACGUCAACAACCAAUAGCGCUUUUAGUUUUCUCAGCCGAGUAAAGGUAACCAGCACCACCUAAAGUCGCUAUCCACAUUCAAGUAUCUGACGCGGUCCAUACGCUAUCUUAAAUGUAAAUAAACUAAUUGUAUACAACUGUACGGACCUACACUGGCGAGAAUCUUUUGCUGACGUAUCCGAUGACGUCACUCCAGGGCCACGAUUACGAAUAUCGAUCACGACUCAUUUUGCCUCCUUUUUUUGCUUUUUCCUUCAUUUCAAUAAUGUGUUUCUUUUUAUUUGAUAAAUUGCUCAUGGAGUAAUAUAUAUAUAUAUAUAUAUAUAUAUAUAUAUAUAUAUAUAUAUAUAGUAGUAGUAGUAGUNNNNNNNNNNNNNNNNNNNNNNNNNNNNNNNNNNNNNNNNNNNNNNNNNNNNNNNNNNNNNNNNNNNNNNNNNNNNNNNNNNNNNNNNNNNNNNNNNNNNNNNNNNNNNNNNNNNNNNNNNNNNNNNNNNNNNNNNNNNNNNNNNNNNNNNNNNNNNNNNNNNNNNNNNNNNNNNNNNNNNNNNNNNNNNNNNNNNNNNNNNNNNNNNNNNNNNNNNNNNNNNNNNNNNNNNNNNNNNNNNNNNNNNNNNNNNNNNNNNNNNNNNNNNNNNNNNNNNNNNNNNNNNNNNNNNNNNNNNNNNNNNNNNNNNNNNNNNNNNNNNNNNNNNNNNNNNNNNNNNNNNNNNNNNNNNNNNNNNNNNNNNNNNNNNNNNNNNNNNNNNNNNNNNNNNNNNNNNNNNNNNNNNNNNNNNNNNNNNNNNNNNNNNNNNNNNNNNNNNNNNNNNNNNNNNNNNNNNNNNNNNNNNNNNNNNNNNNNNNNNNNNNNNNNNNNNNNNNNNNNNNNNNNNNNNNNNNNNNNNNNNNNNNNNNNNNNNNNNNNNNNNNNNNNNNNNNNNNNNNNNNNNNNNNNNNNNNNNNNNNNNNNNNNNNNNNNNNNNNNNNNNNNNNNNNNNNNNNNNNNNNNNNNNNNNNNNNNNNNNNNNNNNNNNNNNNNNNNNNNNNNNNNNNNNNNNNNNNNNNNNNNNNNNNNNNNNNNNNNNNNNNNNNNNNNNNNNNNNNNNNNNNNNNNNNNNNNNNNNNNNNNNNNNNNNNNNNNNNNNNNNNNNNNNNNNNNNNNNNNNNNNNNNNNNNNNNNNNNNNNNNNNNNNNNNNNNNNNNNNNNNNNNNNNNNNNNNNNNNNNNNNNNNNNNNNNNNNNNNNNNNNNNNNNNNNNNNNNNNNNNNNNNNNNNNNNNNNNNNNNNNNNNNNNNNNNNNNNNNNNNNNNNNNNNNNNNNNNNNNNNNNNNNNNNNNNNNNNNNNNNNNNNNNNNNNNNNNNNNNNNNNNNNNNNNNNNNNNNNNNNNNNNNNNNUAUAAGUAAGUAGUAGUAUAUAUAUAUAUAUAUAUAUAUAUAUAUAUAUAUAUAUAUAUAUUCAUGAUGGAAUUGAUCAAUAUCAUUUCAAUAUAUCAAUAUCUUUUGCUUUUUGUUUUACUUUUCCUUCAUUUCAAUAAUGUGUUUGUUUUUUAUUUGAUAAAUUCAUGAUGGAAUAUAAUUCAUGACUAGGAAAUAAAAAAUGAUAAAAUCUCAAUUCCGUUAGCGGAAAAUGUCAAAUGUUACCUCAUAGUAGAAGCUUAAUUAUAAUUAGAUAUUCAACCUAAAGUUGUUAUUAAAGUAGAAUGGAUUUGAUGAAUCAAUCUAUUAGAUAGUGAUUUAUAACAUUAUAUUUACACUUUCCCAUCAACUAGAAAGUGGAAAUAGUCAAUCAGGAACUCUAAAUUAAAUAAUAACAUGAAACGGUCAAAAUAAUUUUAUCAAAACCUAACGUGACUAAGCAACUGAAGAUACAUUAUAGUCGAAAGGAUUGGGCAUUUAACAUAAAAGAACUUUUCGACAUAAAAUAAUACUCUAUUAAAUUAAAUAACAAACAUGUCACUAUACAUUUAAUAUUCUUGAAUUGAUCGGUUAGUAUAUUUUGGUUAUAUUCACUGAACUCUAUGCUUUCACUAACUUCAAAAUAGUUUACUUUUAUUCGGAGAUACCAAAUCAUCGCACCUUUUAAUUACUUGCCUUGCAUAAAUUAUACUCUCUCCGUUCUAAUAAUAGUGUCUCGUAAUUUUUUAACGCGAAGAUUAAGAAAUAUGUAAAAAGUAAAUAAAGUGUGUUUAUAAAAAUUAUUUAUAUAUUAAAUAUAGAUGAAGAAUAUAUUACCAAAAAAAUAAAACAUUUAUAUUGGGACAUCCUAUUAAAAAAAUAGGAUAUUACUAUUGGGACGAAGUGUGCUGAUGUGAAAGUUAUACGUAUAUACUUUUACUGAGAAAUGGCAAAUCAUCGCACCUUUUACUUAACUUGCAUGUAUAAAUUUUAAGCACCUCUUACUUUAUUUGCAUAAAUAUAAGAGGCAGAGGCACAACUAUGUCUCCUAACAAAUUAUUAGUAUUUCCAUAAAAAAAAAAACAAAUUAUUAGUAUUGUUUAAAAAAAAACAAAUUAUUAGUAUUUAUAAAAAUAAUAAUCAUAAUUAAAUUUUAGUGAGGAUGAAUGCAUUGAAGUGUGCCUCUAGAAGGGCCGCACUCCGGAGUCCGGCCACACUAAUUUUAAGUAAUUCUAUUUUUUUUAGGCGAAAGACAAGUAAUUUUAUUACUCAACGUCAAAACGUACAAUGUCCUCCAACCAAGGAGGGUAAUCACUUGUCCAAACCAUGCUACCAACAACAUCACGCGCAGCCUGCGCUAGUCUAUGUGUGGCAAGAUUAGCCGUUCGAUACAUGUGGAAGACUCCCAAUAAGCACUCAUCUCUCGCUGCCGUAAGAAUGUCUUGAAAAUCCUGGGGAAGGAAUGCCCGAUCUUCUUCCGGUCCAUCCAUAAUCCGUGCCGCAAGCAUUGAGUCGGUGAAGAUGGUAAAGGGGGCCAAGUCUUCUUCGACACAAAGGAUGAUCCCAAAGAUCACAGCCAUGACCUCUACCACCAUGGAGUUGGACGUUGGCUGUGUUUUCUUGGCCAUAGCAGCGCGAAUCCUGCCCUCAUGGUCGCGCACAACAACACGGAAAGUACCUCGUUUCGGCCGAAGCCACACCUUCUCUCCCAGCUGUAGGCCCAUCACCGUGUUCACUGCAAACGCCGGUUUAGCAUCCUGGAAAGCAUCCCAGAGCGCCACACAUUCGGUCUCGGUGACACGUCGGUCCUCCCUCUUCCCAUCAUGCUUCGCCUUACACUUCGCCACCCACACCUGCCAAACCAUAACCACCCAAAUCUCAAACUCAUCCUUUUGGAAUUCUUCGCAAAUCGCCCCCGCAACACCCCAGCUCCAUGUGCUGCGCCUUACAUAACGUUGCCCAGAAACGUGAGUUCUGCCAUGUCUUUCUGAGAGAAGAGCAAAACAGUAAGCUGUGGGACGUCCACAAAAGAACUUCCUACCUAUUUUUGGACUAUACCCCACCACUUAUAAUCUUUUAACUUUUCACUUUUCACAACUCUCAAUAUUAAUUAUACUCCAUCCGUCCCAUUAAAGUUGGCCACAUUUCCUUUUUGGGCGUCCCACUAAAGUUGGCUACUUUCCUUUUUGGGUAAAAAUUACACCAAAUUAAACUCUAUAAUUAAGUCAACUAAUCUACACCUAUUAACCUAACCUAUCCUCACUCAUAUUUCUCUCUCUCACACCGCAUCUCCCUCUCGCCUCUCACUCUCUCCCCCUUCUCUCCCUCUCUCCCCCUCUGUUCUUCUCCGGCAGACGCAACCCCCAAGGCCGCCGCCGCCUCUCCCUCUCUCCCCUUCUGUUUUUCUCCGGCGAACGCAACCCCCAUGGCCGCCGCCGCCUCUCCUCCCUCUGUUCAUCUCCGGCGAACGCAACCCCCCAUGGCCGCCGCCGCCUNUCCCUCUCUCCCCCUCUGUUCUUCUCCGGCGGACGCAACCCCCAUGGCCGCCGCCGCCUCUCCCUCUCUCCCCCUCUGUUCUUCUCCGGCGGACGCAACCCNCAUGGCCGCCGCCGCCGUCUCUCCCUCUCUCUCCCUCUGUUCAUCUCCGGCGGACGCCAUCCCCAUGGCCACCGACUAUAGUUCAAGCCGACCGCGGAACGAUGUAUGGAAUGUUCAGUGAACCGAUAAAUUUUGCAAUUUUGAGAUAGGGUUUGGGAAUUUUUGAUGAUUUUCAAUAGAAGGUCAGAUUGCUUUAUGGAAUUGGGGCUUUUUGAUUCUGCAUUCUGAUUUGGUUUGGAGUGUCUGGUGUUGGGGUCAGAUUUUGUUUUUGAUUCUCUGGCAGCUCUUUGUCGCCGGAGAAGAAGGUAAGAACUUUGUCUUUGGCGGCGGUGGUGGUUGUUGGCAACGGUGGUGGUGGUUUUUGGCAGAUUUGAGGGUGGUUGGCUCUUGGAUUGGGAGGGAGACGAGGGGGACAGAGGGAGACGAGGGUGGCGGCGACUUCGCCGGAGGAGGGAGUGGCUGAUGCCGGCGACUUCGCCGGAGGUGGGUGGCAGUGCAGGAAGAAGAAAGUGAAAGGAGGAAUAAAUUAUUUUAAUUAACUCAAUAAUUUUGAUGGGCCCCACUCAAUUAAAACAUAACACUUCAUUUCUUAAUCUCCGUGCCGAAACAAAUGUAGCCAACUUUAGCGGGACGGAGGGAGUAACACAUUUUCACCACUCCCAAUACACUCAACUAUCUUUUAUCCACUCUCAAUACACUCAACAAUAUUUUUUCUUAAAACCCGUGUCAUUCCCUCAUAGGAAGUUCUUUCAUGGACGAAUGGAGUAUUAUUUUAUAAAUAAUUGACUGAUGUUUGUAGACAUUUGUUCGGAAGUUUUCAUCUUGACUGAAUAUAUAAUGAGUUUACAAUUAAAAUGUUGUAAAUACAAAUCCAACAUUCUAGAUCGAGCAUUUUGUAUUGUGAGCUCAUCUUGAACAAUUUAUACUUUUUAGGGUUCGUUUCCUUCCAUGAAAAAAGGACAAUUUCACUAUUUUUACAUAUUUUCAUCAUUUUUUCACAAUUUCCACAUAUUUAUUAGUAUGAUAUAAAAUUUUCUCAUGGCAAUAUUUUUUCGGACAACUUAUUUUCUCUCUAAUAUUGGAUAAUACUCCCUCCGUCCCCUAAAUAACUUCCUAAUGUUUCUUUUCGGUCCGUCCCCAAAAAAACUUCUUUUUUCAUUUUUGAAUACUACUUCACCACAAUUAAUUCUCUAUUUACCCUUAUUUUUUACAUUUUCAUCACUCUCAAUACUCCAUCUAUCCUUACUUUUUACAUUUUCAUCUUAAAACUCAUAUAUCUUCCUUAUAGUAAACAUGUCAUAAAAAGAAAAGAAAAAAUAUACUAUGUAUAUUUUUUUUCUUAUCCAUUGUUUUUCAAUGAAAAUUUUACAAUUGAUAUAAAUGCAAUCCUUAUACUCCCUCCAUCCCAUUAAUCUUAUCUUAUUUUGCUUUUUGGGUUGUCUCAAUAAUAUUAUCUUAUUUUUAUUUUUGGUAAUAAAUUUACACUACAAACAAUAUAAUCUCACACAUUUACACACUUUUAGGGAGCGUUUACUUUGCAUGAUUGAUAAAAUGAAUGAUUGAGUAUUUUUAUCCUCAAGAGUAGGAUAACUCCAAUCUCACUCUUUUCACGCGAUAUGAAUUAAGUAAAACUAGCUUGAAUGAUAAAAAUAAUCAAGUGCUUUGAGAUAUCUUAAAGUUACACUCCAUCAAAGUAAACAAAGGACUAAUCUUACUAUUUUUAUCAAUUAAUACUAAAAACGUCUUAAUUUAACUCUUUUUAAUUAAUAAUGGUGCCAAAAAAAAUAGGAUAAGCUUGUUGGACGGAGGGAGUAUGAUUCACAAAUCAUUCCUAAACCACGCUGACUAGCAACAGUGCUACGUUUAUCUUGGGAAGGAAGAAAUAGAGAAGACGAAGAAGAAUGAAACGUAGUAGCUGGGAAUAUUUCACUUGAGUGAUAAUUGAAUAAGUAUUUAUUUGGGUAUUGAAAAUUGAAAAUAAAAAAUUAAUGUGAAGCACAUCAAGUGGGCCCGCAUCCCAAAAUUGGAGGUGAAGGUCGUUGACCCUACCCUCAAACAUGUUCGCCCAACUUCCAUCCAUUCACACUUGAAUAUUUGCGUACAUGCUAACAUAUAAAAAAGAUGCAAAAUUAACAAAUUUCUCGUCGGAGUCAAUGAAUAACUAUUUUGAUCUUCAAACUAAACUCAACAACGGAUAAUUUAUACUAUAUAAAAAGUCACUACUACAUUUUCAUUUGACGAGGCAAAUAAAAAAAAUCGUUAUUAAUGCUAUUCUCAUUGUCCUCAUUAAAGAUUACUCUUUUUUCAUUUUGAUUUGUCAUGUUAAAACUAAUCUAAUUUAUAAAGAUAAUUGAAAAGGUCUUUAAAAGAUGUGUCCUACCACUUUUAUUCAAUUUAUACUUUUUUUUUAAUUUUGAUUUGAAAAGAAAUAAACAAUUUUUUUUCUUAUGUGUAUUAUUUCACAAAUCACAAAAAAAAUAAUAAUAAUAAUCAACUCUCAAAAUACUAAAAGGUUAAAAAUUUCUAUGAUGAAAUAAUCAACUCUCAAAAUCAAUUAGUAUUAAUUAAAGCACGCGAAAUUUAUUGAAAAAAAAAUUGAAGAAAAUGCGAAAAGUUUAUAGGAGGAACACCAGAAAAAAAAAAAAAAAGAUAGAAAAAAAAGAAUGAUUUUUGUGUAACUCAAGUCUCCCCAAAGAAAGUAAAAUAGUAUUUUUCAUAUUUUAUAUAAUAUUGAUUCAUGCUUUCCCAAUUAUUCUCUAACAUUCAAGGUGACGAUGAAAUGAGAUUUUAUUAAGAAAAGGAAACCAACUAAAACCCUUGAGAGCAUAAGGCGCAGACUAAGGGUCGAGUGUCGUUAAAAUCUCUGAAGGAUAAGAGGAAAAAGAGUACUCGUCUAAGCAAAAAACUGAGAGUGGGGGGAAAGGAGCGGAGGUGGAACUACCUCAGAAGCUCCGGCCGAACCAUUACCUCUAGAUAGCCCCGGCUCAUUCCACCCAAAUAACACAUUAAAAAUAAAUUGCAAAAGCGAGAGCAACAAGCAAAAAAACACAAAGCAUGACAAACCAAAAACCCCCAAAAGAUAAAACAAUGAGGGACUAAAGAGCAACCCAAGGAGUCCGACCGAGAACCGGCCAGAGCCCAGCGCACCGAAGCUCUGAAAAAAGCAGACCCGACACUCCGCACCCAAACCCCAAACCGAACAACUAACAACCAUCAAAAAAUGACCCAUAUAAGUCUUGUGGCUGUCUUUGCGAACCAGCUGUGCAAUUUCAGGCAUAGGCACCGACCAGAAACCAUUGGUAGAAACAUUGGAGGCCAGAUAAUCGCCGACACGAUUGCCCUCCCUAUAAAUGUGUGAAAUACGAACGUAAAAACACAUAAAUUUUAAAAAAAAAUAUAGAUAUUCCCAUUUAACUAGCAAGUGACUUCAAAGUGCAUCAUCAUCAUCAUAAUAAUAAUAGGUGGGAAUUACUAUGUAAAAUUAAAAAGUUGUGGGAAACAUCCGAAAACAAUGUUUACACGCAAUUAAUCCUUUUAGAAUUUGAUUUGAGUUAUACUCCAUUAUCUAUCUGGGCAACAAUUAAUCCUACAUGAACUCUCAAAUUUUAUUAUCUGGCGUUUCAGCCGAUAAUUAAAAUAUUACCUUUUAUGUACAUAAAAAUGACGUUUUCUUUUUCGAAAAUCACGCUCCAUGAAGUCUACCGCUCGCAACAUAACACGAAAGAUUAAAAAAAACGGCAUUUUAUGUUUCAUAAAAAAAACGUUUCAAUUAUCAAUUGAAAUGACACGUAAUAAAAUUUUGACGUCCAUAUAAGAUUAAUAUUAAUUAAUUAAGAUCAAAUUCAAAAAUAUUAAAAGUUUAGUUAUUAAUUGAAAAAAGAAAAGUAUGGUCCAAAAAUCAAAAUUAAUUUUCCAAAACUAGAUACACAUGCAAUUAAAACCUAAUAUUUCCACUUAUAUUAUCAGAAAAAAACAGAUACUAUCAGAAAACAGAGAGAGAUGAGUUUGAAAAAGUCCACAGAAGAAAGUUUUCUUCCUCAGCUUAUUAUAUGCAUAUAUAUAUAUAUAUAUAUAUAUAUAUACACACACACANNNNNNNNNNNNNNNNNNNNNNNNNNNNNNNNNNNNNNNNNNNNNNNNNNNNNNNNNNNNNNNNNNNNNNNNNNNNNCUCUCUUCAUCUUUAUCCCACUUCUCCUCUCCCAUUCAAAUCCUAGAGAGAGAGAUGGGAAACUGCUGGCCCAAACCUGUUGCCAGCAACAGCACCAGACCUCCCAGCCCAGGUAUAUACUAUAUGCACACACACACACACAGAGCCACGGACACGAUCUGAUGAGCGUCCGAUAAAUUUUCUUUUAAUUAAUUUGUUAUAUUUAAUUAGGUUGUAAUUUGAGUUACUAUAUGAAAUUAUGAUUUCGUUCCGUCCCGUCCAAACUUGUAUCCUUUAUCAGUUCAGACGGGCCUCAACAGGAGCAACAGCCCUCCGCCGCCGCGGACUGCGGCGGCGAUUCCACCUAGCGGCCAGAUCAAAACUCCGAAUCUAAAAAUGUUCACCUACGCCGAGCUAAGAAGCGCCACCAGGAAUUUCCGGCCGGAUACGGUGCUCGGAGAGGGAGGUUUCGGAAGAGUUUUCAAAGGCUUCCUCGACGAGAAAACCCUAGCGCCGUCGCGAGUCGGCGUCGGAAUGCCCGUCGCCGUGAAGAAAUCGAAUCCCGACAGCGAACAAGGCCUCAAAGAGUGGCAGGUAACACAUUAAUUAAUUUUUCACGAAAAUAUUAAUAUUUCAUGAUCAUGAGUACAGGUCAAUAUCUAGUUUUUAUCGCUAAUGCAUGUGCUCACGCUAUCAUCAUUUUUAACUAAGUAAAACUAAUCAUUAAUUACGGAACAUACACUACAAGAAAACAAAUGAUUACCAGUGGCGUUUGCCGUCGGUAAUUUCAAGGCGGCCGCCGGAAAACGAACUAACGCCGCCGGAUAACACAAUUACCGACGGCAAAACACACCGCCAGUAAUUACCGGCGGCGGUACCGCCAUUAUAAUUCGUCGGUGAACGGCGGAGAACUACCGGCAUAUUACCGGCGGCAGCUUGUCGCCGGUAAUUACCUGCUGCGAUUUUGCCGCCGGCAAUCUUCACCGAAGGGCGGUGGUGUUUUCCGCCGGAUACUGUGUCCGCCGGUAAUUGUUUUUGAAAUUUAUUUAUUUAUAUAUAUUUUUAUUUAUUUUAUUUAUUUAUUUAUUUCAUAAGUUAGACGAACUUUUCAGUCGGUCACUCAUCUUAGUUGUGCUCUAAGUCAAGCAUGCUUAACUUUGAAGUUACUUUUGAAUGAUCACCAGUACAGAACACUCGUAUUAUUGAUAUAUAUAGUAUCUAUUAAUUCAUUUAAAGUAAUUAAAUUUAAAACAAUCAUUCAUUGGACCGCCGGUAAUUGCCGGCGGUAGCUCUGCCGCCGGUAUUUCGGCGUUUUUUUGUGGUGAUAUAGCAUGUAAUUUGCAUGUAACAUGUGCUGCUUAAUUAUGUAUAAUUAAACGGCAAUUAGUAGUAAUUUCAUAUGAUGAUUGCAGUUAUAAUAUAAAGAUGGUAUGUGAAUUAGGCCUGCAAUUUCUUCAUCGAAAAGUCAACAGCCAAACUUCCUACGUGUUUCAUUAAAUACGCAGUUUGAUUACAUUGACCCAUUAAUACUUUUAAAAUAGUUUUCCUUCUUCCCAAUCCAGAUAUUUUUCGAGUAAAUUAAUAGUACUACAUGUUUUGAAAUUUUUCUAUGAUUAUCUUGACUUUUUAAGUAUAUAUUAAUUAUUUUCUAUUGGUGCAGGCGGAGGUAAAAUUCUUGGGAAAAUUCAGCCAUCCAAAUCUUGUGAAAUUGUUGGGUUAUUGUUGGGAGGAAAGGCAGUUUCUCCUUGUCUAUGAAUACAUGCAGCGAGGAAGCUUAGAAAGUCACCUAUUCAGAAGUAAUAAUCCACUAGCCUAUCUGGUUUUCAUUUUUGAUUAGUACAUUGUUUUUUUUUUUUNCCAAGAAAAUAGUUACAUGAAAAAAUUAAAAUAGUUAUAUAUAUUUGAUUAAAUUAUGAUUUUUAGAGAUUGAUUAAUUACUGUUUACAGAGGGAGGCGAGCUAAUUCCCUGGGAUAUUAGGAUUAAAAUAGCCACCGGAGCAGCUCGAGGAUUAGCAGUCUUGCACACUACUGAAAAAACAGUAAUCUAUAGAGAUUUCAAGGCCUCAAACAUAUUACUCGAUAAGGUAAUUAAUACUCACAGCAUUUUAUAUAUGCUUGAUUUAAUUCGAGUUCUAUGAAAAUGAAUCUAUAUACGCACGACGACCUUUUUUUAUUUGAUAGUAUUACAUUUCUGAUUAGCCCAUGUUUCUUAUUUUUAGGAUUUCAAUGCAAAGCUUUCCGAUUUUGGACUUGCUAAAUUAGGUCCAGUCGAUGGCAAUUCUCACGUAACAACUAAGGUUGUUGGCACCUAUGGCUACGCUGCCCCUGAGUAUAUAGCUACAGGUAGCUACAUUUUAUCAAAUACUCCACUAAUUAAUUAACAGUUUUUAAAAUUAAAAUUAAUUACUAUUCAUAAUUGCUUGCAGGCCAUUUGUACGUGAAGAGUGACGUGUAUGGUUUUGGGGUGGUAUUGUUGGAAAUAAUAACGGGCUUGCGGGUUCUCGACCCGAACCGGCCCAGCGGGCAGCUUAAUUUGGUGGAUUGGGCCCGACCGUCCCUACCCGACAAAAAGAAGCUCAAAAAAUUAAUGGAUCCACGUCUGCAAGAAGAGUACCCACCAAACGCUGCAUGUGCAACAGCCGAGCUCAUACUAAAAUGUCUCGAGCCCGACCCGAAAUGCCGGCCCGAUAUGGAGGCUGUUUUGCAGAGUUUGGAAGAGAUUAGCCACAUUCAAAUGAAGCCCAAGAAACAAAGAGGCGAGCCGAAGCAAGGCCCACAACACCACCACCAGCUGCCGUUGCCCCACCAUGCCUACCGCGGAAGUGGCGGAGGUAGGGGUGGCGCCGCCGGGCAUCGGCAACAUAAUGCCCGUAGUUAAUUACUAACGGAUUUUGAUGUUGUUGGGCGUAUAAAUAACAUAGGCCCACAUUUUUUUUAUGCCCGAAUUGGAGGCCUAGUAUUAGACGUUGUGCUACUUGUAGGAAAUAUAUAUGUGUAUAAUCAAUGUCGAUGUUGUGUUGUUUUGGUUAUUGGAUAGUGUGAUAUCCUAUUAUUUCUCUACAUUUGAUUUUGCACCCAAUUGUCCAAACAACAUGAAUAAUUUAAGGAAGCGAAUUCGCUUGGAAACUACGUAUGGGUUGAGGCCCAUAAACAAAUUACUACUUAAUGAGAUGUAUCUCGUAAUAAUAUGUUUAUAUCUGAGGUUCUAGUAAUGAGUUAAAAUAAUUUUUUUUUAAAUAUAAAUUAAAAAUUAAGUUUAGCACUUAGAUCAUGAAGGGAGCAAAAAAAAAUUAACUUCAUUCCUUUAUACAGGAAAUUUAUACACAUUCCACAUUAAAUUCGUGAGUUCAUAAUUUAUAUUUUAAAACGAAUUUAUGAACAAACCCACCCCUGAGGUUCUUCUAUACAACACAUAAUAUUUGUGAAUUUAGAUCAAAUUCUUAGUUAAUGUAAUUUUGUUUAGGUAUAAAUCAUUAAAGCUAGUUAAAAUAAUGAUGUAUUUUACAUGGUGGUCAUUUUAACUUGGGGUUCAAUCCCACUUGCGAGCGGUGUAGUUUUUUUUAUUUUUGUGCAUGGAUAGUGUUUUCAUUUUUGUGUGGAUAGUGGUUCCACCUGUUUGAAACUAUUUCCCACAUUUUGUGGUGCAGAGGUACUGUUUGCGUGAAAAUUACUUAUUUAAUUAUGUUUAAAUAUCUUUUGUAAUUCUAAUUAGAAAAAAAUAGAAAGUAAAGACAUUUAAUAGACAGAAGUAGAUAAGAAGGUAACACACAUAAACCGCAUUACAAUAAAAAGGCCAAAUGUGUCCAAGCACAUAGAUAUUACAACACGCAAUAAACUUUACAGAAGUAAAAAGAAAUUACGAUGGACGAUAAUUGUAGUUGGAAACACCCGAUUAUGUUUACACCACUUAUUACUUCAUCAAAACAUAUAGGAAUAGGAGUAUAUGCUUUGUUGCUUCCUUCACAUGGUUGGCCUCACAUUCAGACGGGACGCCAGUUUCUGACCAAGGGACUUGUCGACCUGCGCCGCAAUUAACGCUAAUUAAUAUACUCCAAAUAAUUAAAUACACAUAUAGAUAUAAUUAAGAUUAAAGUUGGUACCUGAGUCCACCACGAUAUCCAAAUAGCACGUAUCUCGUGGGUGAGACGGGGAUCCGAUAACGCAUCAACCCAUCGCUUCACAAAUCUGUCUUGCCUGUCUGGUGCCCAUGAACGGUAUCUGACUCCGGGUUCCUUGAAGUUAUUCUCCUUAUCGAUGCACACCCUUUCACGUCUCCCGGUUAUGACGGCGGUGGGAAUGGGGUGCUUCUCGGCAUGGCGGCAAGGGUCAUACUUGGAGGGGAAAUAAUUCACCUCCUCAUCCCUAUGCAUGAAGUUCAUGAAGCCAUCAUGGUGGUUGUUGCGAUGGGGGCAUUUCGGGCAUUCACCGGCAGCAUCAGGUGGUUGGGCCCAAGCCUAUGGCGCUGCGUGUCUCCAUACGCAAAAGUCCGGCAUUGAAGCAUCUUGUCGUUGGAGAAGUAAAUCCCGGGCACGAUGACGGAGGGAUUGAAGGCCAGCUGCUCAUUCUCCGUGAAGAAAUUGUCAAUGUUCUUGUUGAGCACCAUCCUCCCCACGGGCUGCAGGGCAGGAUGUCCUCCGGCCACGUCAGCGUCACGUCCAGCGGGUCGAAGUCGAACUUGUCCUCGUCCGCCGGGUCCAUGAUCUGGAUGAACAGCUUCCACUCGGGGAAGUUGCCGGCGGUGAUGGAGUCGUACAGAUCCUUGGUGGCGUGGCUGUGGUUGGCGCCGCCGAUCACCUUGGCCUCCUCGUCCGAGAGGCACUUGAUGCCGCAGGUGGGCUUCCAGUGGAACUUCACGUAGUUGACCUUGCCGGCCUUGUUGAUGAGGGUGAAGGUGUGCACGCCGAAGCCCUCCAUGUGCCGGUAGUCCUGCGGGAUGCCGUAGUCGUCGAAGAAGAAGGUGAAGGUGUUGAGGCUCUCCGGGAUGUGGGAGAAGAAGUCCAGGUAACGCCAUGUUUCCUGGAUGUGGGAUUUCGGGUUCGGUUUCAUCGCGUGGAUCAGGUCCGGGAACUUCAUCCCGUCCCGGAUGAAGAACACCGGGAUGUUGUUUCCCACCAUGUCGAAGUUUCCCUAAUCAAUAAAUUAAACAAACACCAAUUUGGUCAUUGUUGAGCUAUUUUUUAAUUUUUCUUUUUAGCAAAUCAUUUGAGCUAAUAUGUACCUCUCUGGUGUAGAAUUUGAUGGCGAAACCCCGAGGGUCCCGAAGGGUUUCGGGGCUGCCGCGUUCGUGGAUGACGGUGGAGAAGCGGAUGAUGAGCGGGGUUUGAACGCCCGGUGCUCGGAGGAAAUCGGCGCAAGUGAGGUGAGAGAUGUCAUGAGUGACCUCGAAGAAUCCCUUGGCGCUCGCACCUCUCGCGUGGACAACACGCUCCGGGAUCCUCUCCCGGGCGAAGUUAGCAACUUUCUCUACCAAAUGGUAGUCCUCCAGGAGGAUGGGGCCUAUCAAACAUUGUUACCAUCAAUUUUCAACCACACACAAAAAUGAUAAAUAAAUAUUUUUCAGACGUAUCAAAAUAAUAAUUUGUAUUACAUUGUUAUGUGAUGCGUAUCUAAAGUUAUUUUUAGGAAACCACUUAAAUAAUUAUUACUCCCUCCGUUCCAAACGAAAUGUCCUAUUUUUCUUUUUCAAUUCUUUUAUCAAAUUUUAAAAUUAUUUGAAAAAAUAUAAUAAAUUCUAGUAUUUAAGUUGUUUGUUUCGUAAAGAUAACCUAUGAUAUAUCAAAUAGAAUCUUCUGUCCCAAAAUAUAGUGUGUACUACGUGUACCACUCUUCAUUUCUUUAUAUUUAUAAAUUAUUUUUUAUUUCAUUUUAAUUUAUUAUGCUUUUAUAUAUUAUAAAGAUAAUUAACAAGGGUUCACUCAUCCAUUUAGGGUUUAUAAUUAUUUUUUAUAUUUAUUUGAAUUAAUAAUAGAUUAUUUGGGUUCAUUAAUUCAAAGUUAGGGUAUAUAAUUUUUUAAAUUUUAAUUUUUCAAUGAUAAAUACUAAUUAGAGUUUAUAAUAAUUUUUAUUUUUAUAAAAAACAAUUUAUAAAAUAAAGAAAUGAAGAGUGGUACACGUGGUACACGUAAUAUUGUGGGACAGAGGAUCCCAUCUGGAUGGCUUCGAAAACGAUAUACUCGGAGGCCGAUUAAAUACUAAAUAAGAAUAAGACAGAAUAAAAGAUUUUGGUGGGAAUGCUUAGAAGAAUACAAUUCAACCAUAGCUUUCUAAGUAUAAAACCAACUCCACAUUAAUUAAAUGGCCGGAUCUUGCCGGAUUAUUGCCAACCACAGUGGCCGUUAUAUACACACUUUUUUUUUUUCAUUCUUCCAAAAUCAACAAUUAUAUGAAAACUCACUUAUCAGAAUCUCACAAUUAGUCACUACAAAAAAACAAAGGGAUAAUUAUAUACACCUAUAAGUUAAUACAUACUAAAUCUAAUUAUGAUUUUGCAUAUAUUGAUUUUUUUUCAUAAUAUUGUCAAUGUCCAUGGAAUUAAUAUCAUCGUAAGUGAUAAAUUAAUGACAUCGUGAUUAGCUAAAGUGAUGUAAGAGUUUAAAUAUCUCAUUUAUAAUACAUCAACACGACUUUUUAAAUUUAUAUAUAACAUUAAAAUUUGAUGAAAGCUUGUAUAUUAAUGCAGAAAAGAAAAAAGAUCGAAAGAGAUAUAUGUAUAUUAUCCGUACCUCUACUUCCAACAGUGAGAGCAUUGUUGUCGUUCCAGACAGGAUUUCCAGAAUUGGUGGUGGUGAAAGGCGUAUUGUACGUACUUGAGGGACGGAACUGCACCACACCAUCCAUCGUCAAACACGAAUAAGUAAGUCAUCAGCUAAAUGAGUUAAUUCUAAAAGCAAUACAUACCUUGUACGGAUCCAUGGAUAGUGAUGAGAGUCUGCUUAAUUCUCUCUCUAAAUUUUGUAGUUUGGAGGAGUAAGAAAGGGGGGGAUGAUCCGAUCACCACCUUCUCAUCACGCCUAUAAAAAGGACUGCCCACUCGCAUCAUAAUGGACUGUCCCCACCCAUAAUUACCAAAUCUUAUCCCUCUCAAAAUUAUUUUAAUUAAAGAUAGAUAUUUUGUUAUGAAAGAGAAAGUAUCAAUCCAAGUAGCUCGUAUAAGAUAAACUGAAUUUUAUGAUUUUUUUUAAAAGACUUACCUGUACAUAAUAUAUACGUGCAACGAAUUAUGUAUAGUGAAGCUUGACUACUAUGGCGAGGAUCAAAUAAAAAUGGGUUAAUUACGCCAAAAAUCAUGAACUUCGGGUCCAUUUUCAAACUUUCCAUAAACUUUUUUUUUUAUCAAAAAUUCUCUGAAUUUAAGGGAUUGAACAAUUUUUUCAUGCUUUUUUGCUCCGAGCCGACAUGGCGUCUAUUAUGACUAUAAAUUGACACAUAGAAAAUAAAGAACAAAAAAAAAAAAAACCCCAUCGUCUCCCCCCUUUCCCCCACCCCUCAAACCCUAAUUUACCCUCCUUCCACCCGCUGUCGCACCAGAUCCGCCGCCCCUGCCGCCGUUGGCAACUGCAGUCUACCCACCA